ACUGCACUUGUGAGACAUGCUGAGAAGAAGGUUGCUCCAUGUGAAUUUCUUCCUAGACAUCACCAUGAAGAACUGGAUCCAACCCAUAGGAGGAUUAUAAUUUGGAAACUAUGAGAGACAAACACAUAUGAAAAAUGUCAAACUGGUUGAGAACCCAAAAACAAAUUGAAUGGGAGAACAUCGGUGGGUCAGUGACAGAGCCAGACCCUAUGAUUUCAUACAGUUAAUACGAUUACAGAUACUACCUGUAUAAAUGCUAAAGUCAGUUACACUUAUAUAGAUCCCUUCCUUCCACUCAGCUGAUCAAAUCAAACAGGAAAACUUAAGAAAGCAAAGAUGAAGAUGAAGAUUGACAUUUGGGAAAAAGGAGAGCAACAUAAGUUGUAUCACUUUCAUGUUGUUGCAGUAUUACUGGGAAAAAGCUUCUUUAUUUCUUCUAGUCUUUUCUUUUUUGUUUUUUUUUUUUUUUUUUGGUUGGGCAGUAUCACACAAAACCAGACCCAGAAUCUCUUGUGGACUGCCUCUUGAACCAGUCCUCAAGAUGCCUAGAGAGUAAAACAAUAAAUCCUUUAACAUUCCCAAGAAAGGCAAGUAAUGACACACACUACCAAAUGAGACUGUAAAGUAAAUGGACGGUUGAAAAUUAAAUAAUACAUGCAUUUUGACCAUACAAAUUUUGUAGACACACGGUUAAUUAACCAACAAUUUGCACUGUGAAUUUAACAGACCUUACAUCCAUCUUAUAACUACAAUGUUAAUUGCAAUGACUUGAUGAUAUAUCAUACUAAAUCAAGUGUCCUAUGCAGCAUAUGAAGCAAAACGGAUGCUUGGACCCAGGUCCCAGGGUCACAUAAAACCACAAAGUGAAUGGAUAUAACUCCACAAUAAAUCAACUGUCUUAUAACACUAAUUUGGGAUGAGAAAUUGAAUCAAAUCCAAAAUUCUAGUAUCAACGAGCAGGCAUCUUAAUCAAUAAUAUAGGAAUACUAAAUAAAUCUAGGUGUCUACCCAUCCCUUUUAACCUCCCUUACCUAUUCUAGCACAACCAGUUUAUACCAAGCCCUCACCAGCACCAAUGACCUCCUUUGGACAGGACAAAACAAUCUUAAUUGAUUCCACACCAUCUUAUCAUAAAUUGUGGCCAGGAUAAUGUGAAGGAUACACAUCUUAGCAAUCUGAUCUACCAAUGCUUUUAUACAACCACCUUGGUUCCCACUUCAAUGAUACCUUAUAAGUUGUUUUCCACCCAACAUCUAUUAGCCAACCAAUUUUCUCCACAUCAACAACAAUGUUCCUUUUGCAGCAAAUCAAUAAAUUGCAAUUCUCACAAGUCAGAACAAAGGGGACACUUUUAAUGAUGAUUUUAAGCCAGGAAACCUACUGCAAAUUAUUCUAGUGAUAUUCAAAUUGAACAAACAAAUAACAAGAAGUGUACAAAGUCAGAGAAGCUCCAAUGAAGCAAGUCAAAGCAUGGUAGCUAAGUGAUUAUUGAAGAAGAUAAAUUGUCUUCAAAACAUUAAGCAGUAAGAAAUGCCAAACACAGCACAAGUUAGCAAGAGUCAAUCCACACAUAAUAUCGCACAAAUGCCUUGUCAAUCUAACCUUUAAACUUCUUAUCUCUUCUUGUAGCUUUUCAUUUGCAUCUUCAAGAUCCUUAGCUUCAUUUCUCAGCUGGUUCAGUACUCGGAUGGCAUCCCCAAGUAUGGCCAAUUUGUCAGUUUUGGCAGAUUUACCAGGUUCUAAAAUGGAACUCAAGUCUAGAAACCUAAAUCGGACAAACAAGAUUUUUCCUUUGAGACACCAUCCAUCACCUUAUAGAUUGAUCAAUGGAUAGAUACACAAAAAGACAUAGAGAGCACAUAAGAAAUCUGUACAAGUAUCAAACUACAAGAAAUCAAUAAAAGAUUUGGACUACUCAAAUGGUCACAUUUCCCGAUGACAGAUAACAUACGCAAUGAUGAUGAAUCCCAUACCAUUAAAGAUUGUGUUUUUUGAAAUAAUUUUUUGAUAGGUAAGCAACUUAUCAAAAACACCAAACAGGCUAUAAACCAGUACAUGUGAUAUGUGUUAGGCACACAAAGGAAAGGAAAAGGAAGAAGAGAGGAAGACACCCUCCCUUAGUUAUACAGCAGAAGCAAUAAAUAGAAUCCAAAAUUGAUGUAUCAUCAGCAUAUUUCACAGACAAAAAAAAAUAACAAGCUUAAGAAGCAUUUCCUUCAGCUCAAAAUUGGAGGUUCCUCAUCCCAAACAUGUUCCCUAUUUCUCUCUCCAUAUGAACCACAUAACACAUGAGGGUACAAAUCUCCAAAACUUCCACCCUCCCUCCCCAGCUUCCUCCCACACCUACAAUUACCAUUCUGGCCUUUGUGAAAUGCAUCAUCUGCUCCAAAGAGCGUAAAUGAAGGUUCACAAUUCUUGCUAUACUACAAUAAACAAAGAGAUGAUUGCAAGCAUCAUAUUCUUUUUACCUUACAUAACUCCUGCAACAGAUUAAAGGCACGUAGCUGGGAAGUGAAAGACCGUUAUUUUUUUAACCUUAGACAAAAUUAAUCUGAUCUAAUAUGCCUCACCUAUUCUUGAACAAAUGCAGUUGCACAUCAGUCAAAUAAAACCAUGACAUCAAAAAAAAAAAAAAAAGGAAUCUGAUCCAACAAAACACAUGCCUGUCAUUCAAUCUUUCCCUUCGCAAUUUCUCACGGCAAGCUUUGGUUCCAGGCCUGGUGGAUGAAUCAUUGCGUCCCCUACAAAUAGUCAACAUGAAAUUAUCAUGAAAAUCUAAUUACAAAAUGAAAAAUAUGGAUCAAGUUAUUCUACCAGAAAGACUUAUAAAAUGAUAAACAAGGAACCAGCUCAUUUGAUAGUUUUCUAUCUUUUUUCAACUCAUAGUGUAAAACGGUCAUGCAAAUGAAAGCAUUCAUAAAGAAUAUCACACUUCUAUUCUAGCAAGAUUAAAAUAAAAAAAUAAAAAAUAAAAAAUAAAAUAAAAAGAUUGCUAUGAUGGAGACAACUGACAGCCACCUUUACAAGUUUACAAGGAGUAAAGGAAUGGGCUUUAAGGCCAAUCUUUAAUUUGGCAUUCUCUAGAUGACAUUGAGCUUACUUGCGAUCUUAUAUAGUUCAACAUGGACUCAGCCUAGAAGUACUUUCCAGAAAUCAGAUAAUGGGCUUCAUCAAUGGUCUUAAGUUCUUACUUUCAGUCGUUUAUGUUGUCAUUUUCCAAGAGUCUUUUAAUAUGGUCAAGUAGUCAUUCAAAGUCUCUGAUAUUUUCAAUCUUCAUUGCUACUGUGUGAGUAUUUCUAAGAAGUUAUAACUCUUUAGAGAAGUUCUAUAUAGUAUUUGAUAAAAUCAAUGAAUGAAUGAUAAAAAUUUCCAACACCAUUAGUAAUAAAUGAUACCACCAUUAGCAAGCACCUAUUAUACAUUUAUUUUUUAGAAAUUUAGAAAAAACAUUAAAAUAAAAAACCAUGAGAAGAACAACUUGAAUCAACUCAAUGACUGGACAAGUGCAACAAUGUUUAGAACAUGAGAGCUCCACAUGUUCAAAAUAUAUAUCCCAUAUAGGUAAUGCUAAAUAGCACAAUUUUCCCUUUUCUACUUUCACCAGUUACAUGGAGAAUAAGAGCUUUAAAGAACAUAUUAAGAGGACACUUAUUCCCUAAAACUUGCUCUUUUGAUUGUCUCAUUUAAAGUAAGGUAAGAACAUUGAAAAACAAAUUUGUGACACUAUCCAACAAUUCAUGGAGCAAUGUUAUAUAGAUACCAGUAUGAGCAUCAAAUUUUCCAUGAGCCCUUAGAUUCAACACCAGAAGAACCUUAGGAUUUGACUAUGAGGCAGAAUAUUUAAAAAAUGUUUUACAACGCAAGUACAUUUAGAGAAUGUUUGGCCUUCAAUGUGUUACAUCUUCUUACCCAUCUACAUCUGAGAUCACAGAAUUCAAAAACUUAACAGUGUAAAGGUUAUGGGGUUGUUAAGCAUAUAAUUACAAACUACAGUCUAGAAGUGUAAACUUCACCAACUCAUGGAUGCAACAAUCAUCAUCCUUAAACCCUCAUGCGAACCAAAUACACUUAUCCAACCAUGUUCAAUAUCAAUCCCUCAAUAUUCUAUAAAAUCCCGAAAUAUAAAUAGCAAUUCAUAUUAAUUGCAUAAUUCUCUGACCACAUACACCAUUGAAUUCAAUCCCAAAGGCAAGAAAAUAAAAAGACAACAAGGGGAAGAAACACAUUGCUACAUGAUGUUACUCAAUCCCGAUAGCAUAGUUUUCCCACAUUUAAAAAAAAAAAAAAAAAAAAAAAAAAAAAAAAAAAAAGCUCGCAUAUUAUUCAAAUCAUACAGUUCAGCAUUGAUAAGAGAUUUCAUUCCAGCAUAUUGCACAUUAGAGUUACAAAUUACCUCUUCUGUCUGCCUUCAUUUUCUUGCGACGCAGCACAAAUACGCGAAAGAUCAAUAUCGACACCAGCACUGAAAUAGAACAAGCAUACCAAUCACAUUAACACGCCGAUCUAAAGUAUCCUCAUUUCAAUUUCACGAUUAAAACAAUUUCAAACAACUUUAGGUCAAAAUGACUCGGACCGAUAUUCUAAUUAUCCGAGGUGAAGCUGAGUCGCCAAGACAACAAUUAACUAUCAAACUUAUAAAAUCAAUCACACAAUUAUGUUUCGCCAAGCCGCUGAUUGGCUGCCGAGAAAGCAAAAGAAAGGAAGAGAAAAUUUAAACAUACAGGUACCCGUCGUUUAUCCAAGAGAGAUCGUUGGAUGUGACGUCGUCUAUCAAUUUAUGAUUAAGAAAAUCCCAAGUAUCAUCGUCGAAGGAAUCCAUGGAUUUGGGAUAGGCAACAGGAAUCCAGCACCUAGUUUGGAGGGGGAGAUGGAUAUUUUGAAAGAAAAUUGCCCAGCAAAGGCCCUAAAGUGGCACCACGUGGAACACGUUUGAAUAAGUAUGACGGCGAGUUGCCGCUUCCUGUUUUGACCAACACGUGUGUCUGCACCUACUCCUUUCCCACGCGCCUCUGUCGUCGUCGAUUCGGGUCCGGUGACCCUCUCAAUUUUAAUUAACUGGAAAAUACGCGAUUUACUGAUUUGAGUGAUUUCCAUUUUUAUUUUUGAAAAAUAAAAAUUAGGAUAAAAAAUAAGUUUCGACUUUAUCUUUUUUAUUUAUUUAAAAAUAAAUAAAAUAAAAAUUUUGGAAAAGGCUUGAUGUUUUAUUUUUCAAAAUUUCUUGAGACAAUUAAAAAUUAUCUUUUGUAAAUAAAAAAGAAUAAAAUUAUAUCUUAUAUUGGGUAUAAAAGGGAUACAUAUAUUAUAAAUAUGAAAUACAUGGAAAAGUAGGUUUUUAUUCACUAAUUUAAAAAAAUAUAGAAAAAUAACCUAAAUUUUUAUUAAUCAUAUUUAUCUUUACCUAUUUAAAAAAAUUUUAAAAUACAUGUAUUUUUAUAAUUUAAAUAAUUUUUUCUUAAAAUGAUCAUUUGACAUAUUUAUAACACUAAUUAACAACUUUUUAUUGUGAGAAAUGAUUUAAGAUUAAUAAAAUAAGAAAUUCAAAAAAUUAAAACUAUAAUACUUUAAUACGAAAAAUACAGCAUAAAAUAUUAAUUUUUACUUCAUUAAAACACUUUGAUAAAAAAUAUGAAUAUCAAAAAAGAGUUGGAAAUAGAAUGAGUAAAUAUUUUUAUUUUAAAAUUUUUAAGUUUUUUUGUUUUUAAUUAUAUUUAAUUUUAAUUGUAUUUUUAAUUUUAAAAUUUUGUAAAAAAAAAUUAUUUAAUUUUAUUAAAUAAAAUGAGAAAUUGAAAAGAUUUAUAUAAUAUAUGAUAUAAAAUCAUUAUUAAUUAGAAGAUUAAAAAGAUUAUAUUUAUCACUUAUGAAUUUUGAAAAAAAAAAUCCACAAAUCUCAUAUUAUAUAAUAAAAAAUUUAUAAUAUAUUUAUCAGUCAAACACCUUUAUUAAAUUAAAAUAAUAAAUUAAUUUUAAAUAAUUUUAUUUAAAGUAAAAUGAUAUUUCAAGAAAUAACUAUUUAAAUUAUGAAAAACUACGUUUAUUUUUAAAUGGGUGGAGAUAAAACUAAUUUUUUUUAAAAAAAAUUAAAGUUAUUUUUCCUAUAUUUUAUCAAAUUAAGGAAUUAAAACCCACUUUUCCUAGUAAAUAUUAGGAUAAAGAAAUAUUUAUAGACAUCAAUUUCAUUCAUUGUUUUGAAUGAAAUUGGAUAUGGGAAAUUCGAUAACAGGCUAAAAUGAAAAUUUUAUUAAACCAGGAUUUCCAUCAGUUGUAUACAUGGAUUUCUGUGUCAAUUUAUAGUUUCGAAACAGAAUCAUUUGAUGAGAAGCGGUCAGCAGAGAGGACUUCCAGCCAAAAAAAGUUGAAACAUAAUCAAAUGACAUGAGCUUCAUUCUUAAGCUGGUCGAUCAGCUCAUCCACGGAAGAAACAAUAACUCCUGCUUUUCUCUUGGGAGGCUCAGUGACCUGAACAACCUCCAAAUCGGAUUUGAUAUCUACAUUCAAUUCCUGUGGAGUGAACUUCUUUAUUACCUUCGAUUUUGCUUUCAUAAUGUUGGGGAGUGUUGCAUACCGAGGCUGGUUCAGUCUCAAAUCAGUGCUGCAUGAGGUACAAAAUAUCAGGUCAAGUAAUGAGAUGAAACACAGAGCCAAGUUGCAUUUAUGCUAGCCUAUGGCAAAUAAUUGCAGUCAGCUUUCUGAUAAUAGCUUUGUUCAUCUGAGAAACACUUCCUAUUCAUGUGUUAUCAGCAUUUCCACAUGUUGCCUACUGCCAUUGGGCAAAAGCUUGGAUGAAAAAGAAGCAUGUUUUUGUCUUAAUUCUCUUAAGCAGAAUCAAGGAAUAGGGUUUUUGAGCAGAACUUCAUGUUACGAGUAGAUCCUUCCAUCAUUUGAGCACUAGCUAGCUAGGAAUUCUUACAAGUACAGAAUAUAAAGCUUGUAAUGACCAUGAAUGGGCUGCAAAGAACACAUGAAUAACUUCAAGAGUUCAAAACAGACAACAAAUUUUGCCCAUAGCAUAUAUUUUUAUACAGAAAAAUCAGUUGCAUACUCUUAAAUGGUCAAUUAAAGCUCAUCAACCAAAUCUGAAGCGUCACAAUUUAACAUUUGCUUAAGCCCACAUGACUUGCAUCAGGUACUCAGUCAAUAACCACAAUAAUCCCACUAGGACCUCCUCCUCUGUUCAUCAUUGAAGACCUUGGAAUUAGGGGACAUCAUUUACAUGGAAUUAGGGGAAUUAGAAGACCUUGGAAUUAGGCAAUAAGCUCAUAUGCUCUCACACUUCCCAAAGACAGUCCUCAUAGAUGGGCAAUCCUCAUCUUAAAAGCACAUCAAUCCCUAUUACAUUUGGUUUCUAACUUUAUCAUAUGCAAACAAUAUGAGACCUUUGACGCUACUGAAAUAUUAAUCUAGACAGACAUUCAUUAACUACAUUUUUCCCUGUUAUACAGAGUAGUGAAAGGUUCUAGAAAGUUUUUAAGCCAAUACACCACUGCAUACACAUCGGAAUAAAAGUUCUGCUUACAGAAACAACGCUACAAUACAUCCUAUUAAGUCCCAUACGAUAUGAAUAUUAUUAACUAUUUUCUGAUAACCCAAGAAAGAAAAGACUAGAAUAGAAUAAAUAUAUUUUAAAGCAUAUUUUCAAACUGGAAGUUAAUUAUAAUCAGUAACACAAUUAAAUAAUGAAUUUAGAGUCACAUGUUUCUAAACCAAAAAAGACAAGUUGUUUAAUUAAUAUGAAUAUAAAUUUAAAAAUAAAACUUUAAAAAUAUGAUCUAUCUAUGUUUCAAAGGUUUGUUAUAGAGAUUUCAGAGAUUUCACGCUUUCUUUUAUAAGCACAGCCAACCAAAAUACAUUAACAAACAGUUUUUCCAAGAGAGAAGACGAAUAAAAACUUCAAGAAGAAAAUUUGUUUAAGUUCAGCAUAAGAAAAUAAUUUGAGUUUAAAUCCCCAAAUCUACAUCAUUCUGUACAUCACCUAGAAUUUUUUUGAUAGGUAACCCAUUUUCCUUUUAUUUAUUUUAUUUUAUUUUAUUUCAUUGUUAAAACUUGAACUUGGAACCUCCCACAUCCAAGCUACAACCCUUUCUCACUUGAGACAAGCAUGAAGGAGUAUAUUUCACCUAUAAUCCUUAGUUAUGUUUGGUUCCUAGAAAGUACCAAGGAAAGAAAAAAAAGGGAAAAUGGUUUCUUAUGUUUGGAUGCUACAGAAAAAGAUAAGGGAAAAAAUAUUGAGGGAAAAUGCUAUAGAAAAAAGAUUUUCCUCCUGAUUUUCCUUAAAAAAUGAUGAGGAAAGUUGGCACAAUGUGCAUUCCUCACAAUUUUACUUCCCUCAAUUUUUCAAUGCACAACCAAAUAAGAGAAUUUUUUUAAAAUUUCCUCAUAUUUUUCUUUCCUUCUAAUUUCUUUCCCACAAACUUUCCAAAACCAAGCAUAGCCUUGAUUUUUUGGUCGAUGGAUCCUAAUAUUUUUUUCCAUGCAAGAAGAACCGAUGGAUUAGUCUUCUCCAUUUAUGGUUCCAAAGGUUUAGAAUUUCUUUAGCAUUUUAUUUUGCUUAAUUGAAAAGACAGAGAACAAUAAAAGUAUUUCAAGAGCUUCAUCAAAAUUUUAAACCACAAAGCUCAAUGUAAGACAUGAUGGCAUGUAAGACAGAAAACAAAAACAAAGACAGAAAAACAGUAAAUAGCAUAAGAAGAACAAAUAGAAAACAGAGUGAGACAAUUACGUGAUUACUGCUGGUAAGUCCAAACAUAAAGUUUCAAGACCACCAUCCACCUCUCUCUCCACUGUUGCCACCUCUUUCUCCUUGUCCAGCACAACCUACUAGAAAGCAGCAGCCAGGUUGAACAAUUAUUAAAGGCAAAGAAGAAUAACUUUUAAAGAGAUCAUCUAAAUGUUCUAUCAACACCAAUUGCCAAUACAUCUCAAAUUCUCUAGGGAAAGUGGGGAGAGAUACAAAAACAUAAGCUAUGUUUGGUUCCUAGAAAAUUUGAAGGAAAAUGUAAGGGAAAUAAGAUAGAAAGGAAAAGUAGAAGGAAAGACAAAGCAAAGAAAAUGCAUAGGUUUCUAACUAAUUUUAAUUAUAUUUGAUUUUAUUUCUUAUUUUUUUAUAGUAAAACAAAACAUAAGAAAAUAAUUUUCCUUAACAUUUUUUUUCCUUAAUACUUUCCAAGAGCCAAAGGUAUCAAUGGUUUUAUUGAUGCACACAACAUAAUUCUUUCAGGUAUGCCCCUUGCAGCUGGAGAACAAAAAGAAUAUAGGUACAAAAUGAUUUAAGAAAACAAAGAUUACCACCAUAGAAAAGCUAAAGUUAAGUUGAAUUCUAUUGCAUACAGAAAUCCAUGAAUCAUGACAGAAAUCCUAAUAAUAUUUUCCAUGAGGAAAAACAUCCACAUUUAUAAUACUACUGAAGAACCACAGUAACAGCAAUUUUAGGGAAAAAAGGACCACUGGCAUAUGAUGGUACCAUAAGAACAAUCUCAGCCCAAAAAACCCUUCAUAGGGGGGGCAAAUUGCUCUAACUCUUGAAAUCUACCCAAAGAAGGGAAACUACCUCUUUAAUCCAUCUUGGUUAGGUACCAGUUCCACAAGGGGCCAUGGUCCCCAGAUCCUUAUUUUUCCUUGUCCACAGUGCUUUUUACAUUCGGAGUAAUUACAAUAUCAGAAACAAGAAGAACAUAACAUCGAUUGAUGUAUUUGGAAGCAAAAAAAAAAGGUUAAAAAAGCUGUCUUAAACCUUUUGGGGUAUCUGUUAUUUUGCUUUCAUCAACUCAAUUGAUGCUUUUUUCAGCCUUUCCCUCCUUUCAUGGCCUUUGAUAUACUCUAUGCAUGCCUUGCUGAUGCUCUUACCAUUCAGCCUAAGGCCACACAACUAGCCUUUCGCAAAGACAUGACUCCAGUUUUCAGCUUUCUCAUCUUUUCAUGGCACACUCGCUAACACUGUCUUCACCCUAAGUGAUAUGAUGUGUCUCACUCAUGCAACCAGUAUUCACCCAAAGAGAUAGAUCAGAGAAAAUUUCUCUGUGUUAAGUUUCUUUAAAAGCAAACAGAGUCUUUGAGAGUUUCUUGUUAUUCCAUCUAUGACCAAAAGGGUUGAGAUUCAUGGCCCCUUGCAAUGAAUUUUCCAUUAUCAUCUUCAAAUCUGACAUUUAAAUCUUGUUUUCUUGUUUUCCUGUUUUUACUCUCAAAAUAAUCCAAAAACAGUAUUUUGGAAACCCUCAAUUACUUCAAACGAUCAAUGAGAGGCAAAUUGGAAACCAUAAUUCACAAGCGCUGGCAAAUGGAAAUGGACUCUAAAAAGAUGUUAGCUGUAAACUAAUUGCUUGUUGGCUCUGGUGGCAUCCAUCAUCAAAGAAAAAAGAUAAAUAAACUGAGACAUGGAAUUUCACUAUCCUUUUUUUCUUAUAGGUAAGCGAAGCUUGUAUGAAAGGAAUAAAGAAAAUAUAUACAACAUAUACAAAGCAACCAAAAUGGAAUUUCACCAUCCUAGCUGAAAAGUGGCGCACUGUUACCCUACUUGAUGUUGUAAUAAGCUUUUUCAUCCUAAACUAGGGGAAAAUGCCACUAGCAUGCACCUUACAAGUCUUUCUAAACAUUUCUGCAUCUCAUCAUGAGAGUUUUAUGGCAGUGAAACCCCAUCCCAUGCCUCCGUCAGUGAGGAUUCUAUAACAACAGAUUCAUAUAUAUCAUUCUCUAAUCCUUUUCUCUUGUAUGUGAAUAGAACAUAGCUCUGUUUGGAUCCAAGAAAGAAUGACAGAGGAGACCAAAACACUCAAAACACUGAACAUAACUUUAGAAAGUUCAAAGUUAUUUUCAGGAUUUGCCUUUUAUUUCUCCCAUUCUCUCUGAUAUAAAGACAAAACCUAAUACUUGUAGAAAGACACAUGGUUAAAUUUUUGUUGUCAACGCCAACAAAUCCAUGUAAGGUGAUGCUUUUCACUAAGAAGAGACUCUAAGAUUAGAUUCCCAAUGUAUAGAGUGUUUGCGCAGUAAACAAAUCAAUCACUUAUCAUUUAUAUAACAGUAGAAGUGUAUGGAGAGUGGGACUAACCUUGGAAGCAAAGGUCCCCUGAGGCCAGUUGAGCAACCCGGCAACCAUUUGCCCUGUUUGAUUGCAAUCGUCAUCAAUGGCCUAGAAAACCCAUGCCCACAUCAGAAAACAACAAUCCACCAUAAAAAGAGUCUAGGAUUUUCACGGAAUCCGCAAAUUUAUUUUUAAAUCGUUACCAAAAACCCUAAUCUCUGGGCACGAAUUCACAGACCUGUUUGCCCAGAAUAAGGAGGCCAGGCUUCUCCACAUCGACGAGAGCUUUGAGAAGCUUAGCAACUGAAAGUGGGUACAGAGUGGCGGAAGCUUCGACGUGGAUGGCCCUAUCGGCGCCCAUGGCGAGACCCGUUCUGAGCGUGUCGACGCACUGGCUGGGACCCACACUGACAGCGAUAACCUCCGACGCCAGACCCGAUUCCUUGAUCCUCAGAGCCUCUUCCAAACCUAUCUCACAAAAGGGGUUCAUCGACAUCUUGACGUUGCUGGUCUCCACGCCGCUCUGAUCGUGGGUUGGCGAUUGUUAUUGGAUGAUGAUGAAAUUACAGAUACUGAAUAACUUGAGAGUUUGGAUUUGGGUUACCUUGUCGGAUUUGACUCUGAUCUUGACAGCGUAGUCCACAACACGCUUUAUCGCCACCAUUAUCUUCAUCUCGUAUAUGGGUGGUUAUCUUCUCCGGCACAAGGGUAUUGGCAAAUGACUGAUGAUGAAGGACGAGGAUAUUCGCCCGAGCCCUACUGCACGACACCACAUCCGCUUAUAAAAUCUUUUGAUACGGAUAAGUACAAGGGAAGUGGAAAAAAAGGAUUAUUAAGAAAAAUAAAUAUAUUACCAAAAAAAUUAUUUAAAAUUUUGUUCAUGUAGAAAGAACCCGUGAAUCAGAUCGAAAAAAUUAUAUUAAAACUGCUGUAUAGCCGAAAAUUGUGUACAGAAUUUAUUUUAACAUUGUAUUAUUGAAUUUUUUAUUCAAAAAUUGCUUAACGUGAGAUAGAAAUUAAAAAAUCAUUAGUAAUUUUGUCCGAAAGUUGUUAUAUUUCAUGUGUUUUAAAAAUAGAUGUAAUUUAUUCCUAUUUGCAUUUUUAACGUACAUUUAAUUAAAUAACCCAAAAAGUUAUUGAGUUCACAUCAUCUAUGGAGUCUACCUCUCUUUGCUUUUGUUGCUUCCAAAAAUACCAUACUCCCAUAUUUUUUUGGUUCUACUCAUUUUACUUUAUUUUUUUCAUUCCAUUCAUUCCACGUGAAGUCUUCAAUCCUAAUAACAUUUACUAUAUUACAAUUAAGUUUAAUUUUUAAAAAACUUAAUUAGGGUUAAAUUUCCUUUGAGAGAACUUCAUUACAAUUAUUUGAGUUGUACGUUAAGUUUCAUUUAAAAAUAACUUAUUUAAAAAGAUGUUAAGCUUCCCCUAUUUUAUUUAUAAAGUUUAAUAUCUAUUUGAUUUUAUAUUUGAAAUCCAACUAAAACCUAAUAACGAAUUGUUGUAAAAAAACUCCAAUCAAAAUACUAACAAAAAUUAAAACAUAAAACUCUGAUAAAAAAUUGUUAAAAAAUCCAACAAAAAAACAAUCAUAAAAAACCCUAAUCAAAAACAUCAUGGAAGUUUAAAUGAAAUUGCCAAAAAAUAAAAAGUAUAGAAAACCCUAACAAAAAAACAACACCAAAACACCUGACAAAAAACAAUUACAAAUUCUAGCACAAAAACCCCCAAUUAAAAAUAUCUAUAAAGAAAAACCUAAAAAAAACCAAUUAUAAAACCUCCAACAAAAAAUAAAGAGAAAGAUGAAGAAUAUGAAAAAUUUUGAAGAAGAAAGAAACAUGAGAGAACUAUCAUUGAUCUUUAUUUGUUAAUCUUUGUUAUAUGUUUGAACUUCACUAGAAAAUGAGAGAGAGAGCAUAAACCUAAAGAGAGAAAGAGCUGAAAAUGAGAGGAGAAAUGAAUCACAAUGAGGGGAAUGACAAUUUGAGGAAAUAUAGAAGGGUUAAAUCAUUUGAACUAGGUUAACGUUUUUAUUAAAAAAAAAGAGUAAUGAAGGUCCUUGUUCUAAUUUCAAGAGUAUGUCUGUUAAUUACCAAAUGUGGCAACUCUAAAUAAAAUCCUUUGUUAUCAACUAAAACUAAAAGUCCCAUUACAUCAUAUCCAACUUUCAUUUGUUAUCAACAAAGUAAAACUAUAUACAACUAUUAUCACCAUCUCUCCUAUUUUGAUGUUAUUUUCUUAGAUGAAUUUGUAAAUCAAAAUUUACACCACCCAUAAAUUUUUUGAGCUUCCUAUUUAACACAACUUCAAUUUGUUAUACUUUGAACAUCACAAAGAUAAAGUAAUCAACAUUUUGCUUGGACAAGUUUUUCUUCUCUAAAGUUUAGAGUCCUAUUUCACUUCCCGUUUAUGGGUUGUUAGUUCAUCUAAUAUCUCACCAUCAUCCAUUCCAUGUACUGUGUUUCCGAAAUGAGUUGAUUCCACAUCCUAAAUGUCUGUGCAAAUUAAUAAGGAAUGUCGAGUUACCAAUUUUCUUAAAAGCUUAAUCUUGCAAGAUUUGGAUUCAAAAUGCAUAUCAUGCUCUCUUUAACACCCCUCCCCCCUCUCACAUGUAGCCCUAUACCCACACGUAGAGAAAUAGACUUAUAGGAAAAUUGGUAGUUUAAUAUAGUAUCAGCACUUGGUUUGGUGGGAGGUCUCCUGUUUGAGUCACCUCUCCACAAUUUACAUUUCUCCUAUUUGUUUAAUUUACAGUUCUUCCCUUAAUCUGUAAUUCUUUGGAUAUAAAUUUUCCCCCUAAUUUGUAGUUUUGUGGAUAUGAAUCUCUCUUCCAUGUUCAGGUAUGGGGCCACACAUAAGAGAGGGUGUUAAAGAGCAUGAUAUGCAUAUUAAACCCAAAUCCUAUAAGUUAAAACUUUUAGGAAAAUUGGUAGUUUAACGCUUUUAGGAAAAUUGGUAGUUCAACAUGUGUACACCCCAUUUUGGGGACUGCUAUUGCUCCCACUUCUUUUUGUCAAAUGGUGGAGCUUUUUAGGAGCACAUGUUGUAUUUGGAAAGGCUAUUAGAAAAUGGCAACAUGACUGUUAAUGGAAGUAAUGAUUUUCUAAAAAGGCAACCAUGGGAAGACACAUAACAAAGAUGUUUGGGGAGGAGGGAGAGUGUGCAUCAAGACUACUCAUGAGGGGUAAGAAACAAAAAAAAAAAAGUGUCGAAGAUAACUAAAAAAUUGGAGAAACAUAAAGGAAUAAGGAUUUUAGGGCUAUGGAUGGUGAACAAGAGUGAAUUAUGGGUGUCUAGGACAGCUAGGAAUGGUGAGAGGAGUAGGGAGCUGUAGAAGGUGAUGAGCUAGGUAAGAUGUAUUUUCGAGAAAGAAAAGAACCAAAGAAAGAAGGUGGUGAAUUAAGUGAGACACGUCUCAGAGAAGCAGAGAAAGUUGGCUUGAAGCCAAGCAAACUUUUGCUUGAGAUGAGCAUUGCCUAGUAAGAUUGUUUCGAUUCAUCGAUUAUUACUGAUCAUCAUACUUCUCUUGUCUUAUAUUCAUGUGAUUAUUUUACAUUGAUUGUGGGGUUGCUUUGGUUUGGUUAUUAUGGCUUCAUCCUCUAUUUCUUUAGUUUUAUUCAAGGAUAAAUCUAAUUGUGCUUUGAUUAGUUAUUCCAUAUUUGAAAAUCUUUGUGUAUUUUGGGUUUUUUCUCUUUAGAUAUUUUCUAGAUUAAUCCACUGACCUUUAAACCCACAAAUAAAGAAAAAUGAAAUGAGUUUUUUCAUAUUUGUUGGGUGUUUGGCCCUUGUUUAUCUUUUUUUAAAGCUUUAUUCCUUUAUAUUCUCUAUUUCUCCCCAUUUUGUACAUGGGUGUUUCAAUCAGAGUCUCUAUUUUGGCUUCCACAUUUGAGAUUUCUUUUAUGAGCGAAGACCCAAAAAUGGAGACUGGCUUCUUGUAAUUGAUAAAAUAGUUAGUCACCCAUUAGCUUAGAUGAAGCAUAGAUGUUAACCGGAUUGUGAACAUGGAUACUCUAUUUUGGGCCUAUUAGGCCUUCCAAUCCUCUCUUAGUUUCAUUAUUCUUGAGGAUAGUGUUUGGUUGUGUCUGCUACUUAUUCUGUGGCUUCGGUGGUCUGUUUGUUUAUUCUUGGCUAUUAUCAAUGCUAACAAUGGGAAAGAGACUGGUUUUGGUUAUGCUCUUACGGAUUUGAAGGUGAUCAAAGGGUCCAGUGAAGAGAAGAUUAGUAGGUCAUAUUAGGUUAAUUAAUUAAUUAGGACAUGUUUUGAGUUAUAUUAAGUAAUACAAGCUCUUAGUGGGCUUAAGUAACUUAAGCCUAGUGGGGAAUGCCAUAAAUACCCCUUAGGGGUUAGCAUUUCCAUAGGUUUUUCUAGAGAGUCAUCUUUCACCUCCAAAGAAGGAGAGUCAUAGCCUUUACCAUUUUUUCCAUCAUUAUCGAAGUGUGUCAAGAUUAAGGUUUAAGUCAUUGAGCGGAAGACUCCAGGUUUAUGAGACUUCAUACAACUUCGUUUUUCAUUUUCAUCAAAUGGAAUUAAUUUGAAAACAUUUGAAUCUGAAGUAUGGUUUUUGUUAGCAUAUUUCGAAUCCCUUUAAAGUUUAAAAAUGCAAAUUUUCCACUAUGUAUAGGAUUUAAAAUCGCUUAAGAUAGUUAAACAUGUUCCCCACUUGAUCUGAAUUGGGAAACGGAGAAAUCUGAUAUUUUCCCAUCACAAGGUAGGAUAAGAACUUGUGAUUGAUCUUUAUGGAUUGGACUAAUUAAUUAAUUGGAACCUAAUUAGGCUAAUUAAUUAAUUAAGACCUAAGCAAACUAGUUUAAGUUACACAAGCCUAGGAUGGACUUAAGUGACUUAAGCCCAUGGGAAGCUUAUAUAAACUCCUUUAGGGGUUAGGGUUUCAAACUUUUAUCAUCUAGUCUUCAAUUCCUUAAAGAGAAUAGAACUCGAGCCAACAACUCUCCUAAAGGAUUCUAUUGCUCCGUGUCAAGAUUCGAAAAAAAACUAUUUGAUGGAAGGUUGUUAUGUUUAUGAGAUUCGUUAUGUUUUUUUACACCUUUUCACUAAAUGGAAUUGAUAUAGGAAUGUUCAUAUCUCAAGUGCAACACACUUAUUCUCUUUAGAUUUAUAUUGCUUAUGGUUUUUUUUUUUUUUGUCAUGGUUUUCCGUUAAGAUUAGAUUAAGAGAGCCCUAUGUCAUAGAAUGCUUCAAAUGAGCCUCCCCGGGGGUUUGUAUAGAGCCCAUGAAGCUUCUAGAGACUCCUAUACUUAGCCAUUGGUGGGAAGAGUGUGAAAGGUUCUACAGAUGUCUAGAGAUAUUUACACAUCUCUACACUAUGGUGGAAGGCAUGAGAGGAGUCUAAGGCAUUCUAAAGAAUUAUAAAGAUCUCUUAUAUAUUCUUGUACAUAGGCUUGUACAUAGAAUUGUGUAGGAAGUUAUAGAUUAUUCUUGAGCUGUAAGGAACCCUCCAAGGUUCCAGAGAGUUCCAUUGGUGCCUAUAAAUAGGUGAAUGCCUCAUUUGGCCAAGACACUAAGCAAGUGAAUUCCAAAACACUUGUAAAGCUUCCUUUGAAUAAUAAAAGUUUCAAUUCUUCAAGAGUUGCCUAUUAUGCCUUCUAAAACUUCUAAGUCAUGAGCAUCUUAACCUAACAAGUUAAGCAUUGGGAGUAAUGCUAACUUAGCAAGAUCAAGGAUCUUGACUUGUCUAAGUGUUGCACGAUCUUAGGAAAAGAUUAAGUUUGUGACAGUUGGUUUCAAAGUGUGACUACGAAGUGAGCAUAGUAAAGGAAACAUGUCGAGCUUCAACAUGGAGGAAACUAGUGAGCAAACCCGUGGGAAAGAAACCGAGCCUACUGCAUAGGACAGGGACAUGAAGGAUAAAUCUCGUAAUGCCAUAGCCAACGUGGAGGCAAGGCUAGCCAAGGUGGAGCUAGCCAUGGCAGACACCCGGGAAGGGGUGGACUUAAUCGAGCAAGGCAUGGAAAAUGGCUUAGAGGAUCUAAAUGAGCAUAUCCAAGACCUUCAUGAGAGAGUGCUAGGCUUACAAGUUCGGCCGAUGUCAUAUGAGGAGUUCAUGUCCUUCCAAAACGAGGUCAUGAGCAUGUUUGCUAGCAUGGAGUCGAAGGUGGAGGCCUUGGCUGCACGCAUAGAGGCCCAAGACCAAGAGGUUCAACAAGAGCUAGCUAUCUACAAGACUGUCUUAUCAGCACGAGUCAUGGCCACUCAUGAGGCACUAAGGGUGGAAGUGCCCAAACCACACACGUUCAAUGGCAAGAGGGAUGCCAAGGAGUUGGACAAUUUCUUGUGGCACAUGGAGCUCUACUUUGAGGUUAUAACACUAAUAGAUGAAGCCACUAAGGUAUGUACCACAACCCUCUACCUCACCAAUAAAGCUACUCUAUGGUGGCGUCAGAGGUUUGCCAAUAUAGAAAAAGAAAUGUGCACCAUAGACACAUGGGAUGCCUUUAAGCAAAAGAUCAAAAAACAAUUAUACCUUAAUGAUGUGGCUUACCUAGCAAGGAAAAACACAAAAUGUCUUAAGCACACAGACUCGAUCCGUGAGUAUGUCAAAGAAUUCUCUACACUUAUGCUUGAGAUACCCAACAUGUCUGAGGAAAAGCUACUAUUCAACUUCAUGGACAACUUGCAAAGCUGGGCCGAGCAAGAGUUAAGGAGAAGUGGUGUCCAAGACCUAGCCACGGCCAUGGCGGUAGCGAAGUCCUUGGUGGAAUACAAAAAGGGAGACUCUUUUAAGCCCAAGCCACAGUCUAAGGGUAAUCAUGCUAAAGGUGGGGAAACAAGGGAUCAAGGAGGUACACUCCUAAGGAAUGAUCAAGCAAGACCUCUGGUGGCAAGGAUGGUAAGGGUAAGGAUAAACGGAAAUAGUUCACGCCUAAGAUCAAUUGCUUCCUAUGUGAUGGUCCACAUUGGGCGCGAGACUACCUCAAAAGAAAAGCCCUAAAUGCCAUGAUCGAGGAAAAGUAGAAGGAAGACAAUGCUCAUGUGGGAUCAUUACAACUCUUAAAUGAUAUCAAGGCUAAGUCAGUGCUUAAGACACCUCAAAGUAAAAGUCUAAUGUACAUAGAAGCCCUUGUAAAUAGGAAGGCUACCAAGGCUUUGGUGGACACUAGUGUCACUCAUAACUUUGUCUCGAAGGAUAAGACAAAGAACUUAGAGCUCCAAGCAUCUAAGGAAGGAGGUUGGCUCAAGGCAAUUAAUUAAGUUUCCAAGCCAUCACACGAAGUAGCACGCAGGGUGGCAAUGCACAUUGGCUCAUGGGAAGGAAUGGUCGACUUCACAGUGGCACCCAUGGACUACUUCAAGAUGGUACUGGGAAUGAACUUCCUAUAGAAAGACAAGGUCAUGCCACUACACUUCCUACAUUUAAUGGUUAUCCUAGAGGAUGAAAAGUCAUGCAUAGUCCUUACGGUCACCGAAGGUUCACCCAAGACCCCUAUGAUAUCGGUUAUGCAAGUAAAGAAGGGAUCAAAGAGGAAAGAGGUGACCUACCUCACCACUCUUAAGGAGGAAAAUGAUGAUGAGUUGGGGGAGCCCAUGCCUAAGGAAAUCAAGAGAGUCUUUGAUGAGUUCAAGGACGUGAUGUUGCCUAAGUUGCCUAAAAGACUCCUUCCUAGAAGAGAGAAAGAUCAUAAGAUCGAGUUAGAUGCAGGAACUAAGCCCCUUGCUAUGGGGCCAUAUAGGAUGGCACAACCCAAGCUGAAAGAGCUAAGGAAACAACUUAAGGAGUUGUUGGAUGCAGGGUUUAUCCAACCAUCCAAGACUCCCUAUGGCGCACCGAUUUUAUUUCAAAAGAACCAUGAUGGGUCCCUACAGAUGUGCAUCGAUUACCAAGCACUCAAUAAGGUAACAAUAUAGAAUAAGUACCCCAUUCCACUCAUUGUUGAUCUAUUUGAUCAACUUGGUAAAGCAAGGUAUUUCACUAAGUUGGACUUGAGAUCAGGCUACUACCAAGUGAGGAUUGUGGAAGGAGACAAACUGAAGACUACAUGUGUGACCCGAUAUGGCUCAUAUGAGUUCUUAGUGAUGCUCUUCGAUCUCACCAAUGUACCAACAAUGUUUUGGACACUCAUGAAUAAGAUCUUCCAUCCCUAUUUAGACUAGUUUGUGGUGGUAUACUAAGAUGACAUAGUCAUCUACAAUAGCAUCUUAGAGGAGCACGUGGAGCAUUUAAGGAAGGUCUUCAAGAUCUUAAGGUAAAACGAGUUAUAUGUAAAGAAGAAGAAAUGCUCAUUUGUUAAAGAGGAUGUGAGCUUCCUAGGGCAUCGCAUCAAAGAUGGCAAGCUGAUGAUGGAUGACAACAAGAUGAAGGUCAUCUAGGAAUGGGAUCCACCUACUAAGGUACCUCAACUAAAGUCUUUCCUUGGCUUGGCUAACUAUUACCAGUGGUUCAUCAAGGGUUACUCUACAAAGACAGCUUCACUCACUAAUCUUCUUAAGAAGAACAAGGCAUGGGUGUGAGACAAAAGGUGGCAACAAGCCUUUGAAGAUCUAAAAAGUGUUGUGAUUGAGGAGCCAAUGUUGGCAUUACCCAACCACAUGAAGGUUUUUAAGAUACACACAGAUGCCUCAAACUUUGCUAUUAGGGAAGUUCUGAUAAGAUAGACAUCUAAUCGCCUUCAAGAGUUGCAAGCUAAAUGACAUAGAGAGACGCUACAUGGUACAAGAAAAUGAUAUGACUGUCAUUGUCUAUUACUUGCACACCUGAAGACACUAUCUUCUAGGGUCUCACUUCAUAGUGAAAACCGACAAUGUUGUCAUUAGUUACUUCUAAACACAGAAAAGUCCUAAGUAAGCUAGGUGGCAAGACUUUCUGGUUGAGUUUGACGAUGCGCUGGAGUAUAAGACAAAAAGUACUAAUCAUGUGAAUGACGCCCUAAGCCGUAAUGUAGAGCUAGCAUUCAUGACGAGCCAGCCCCAAUGAGACAUAAUAGAUCUUCUAAGAGAGGGGUUGCAACAUGAUCUAGUGGCUAAGAGCCUUAUUACCUUGGCCCAUGAGGGAAAAACUAAGUGUUUUUAGGUAGAGGACGACCUACUCUACACUAAGGGGAGACUACUCUACGUGCUUAAGUGGGGGAACAUAAGGUAGAACUUGAUUAAGGAGUGCCAUGACACCAAGUGGGUUGGGCACCUUGGGCAACGACGCAUAAAGAGCACUACUCGAGUCAGCUUACUACUGAUCUUAGAUACAAGAUGAAGUUGAGGCAUAUGUGAGGACUUGUCUUGUGUGCUAACAAGACAAGGUAAAACAACAACAACCUAGAGGCUUGUUGGAGCCACUACCUAUAGCAGAGCGUCCAUGGGAGAGCAUCACCAUGGACUUCAUCAUCGGGCUACCUAAGUUGGAGGGCUAUGGCUCGAUCAUAGUGGUAGUGGAUAUGUUCUCUAAGUAUGUGACCUUCAUAGUAGCCUCUACUGACUGUACUGCAAAGGAGACAGCAAGGCUAUUCUUGAAACACAUGGUCAAAUACUGGGGGUCGCCUAAUUACAUCAUCAGUGAUCGCGAUUUGCAUUUCACUAGGAAGUUUUGGACAAAGCUCUUUAAGCUUAUGGGUUUGAAGCUUCACUUCUUCACAAGCUUUUCACCCGUAAACAGAUAGGCAGAUUGAGAGGGUGAACGCCUUAUUAGAGUUAUACUUAUCCUUCAUGAGUGUCAACCAAAAGGAAUGGACUAAGUUGCUAGAUGUAAUCCAAUUUUCAUACAACUUGCAAAGAAGUGAGACAACCAACAAGAGCCCGUUCAAGCUAGCCAUAGGGCAGCAACCAUUGACUCCUCACACACUACCAAUAGGCUAUACGAAGAGAAGUUCAGCGGCUUUGAAGUUCACUAAGGGGUGACACGAGCCAACUGACAUAAUAGCUCAUACUUGGAUAGGGCCGCUAGAAAGAUGAAGAAGUGGGCUGACAAAAAGCGACAUCACACUGAGUACAAGGUCGGAGACAUGGUCUUUGUCAAGCUCCUUCCUAAAAAAUUCAAGUCACUAAGGCCGGUACAUAAAGGCCUUAUGAUGAGGUAUAAAGGACAUUUCCCCAUACUUGGAAAGGUCGGCAAGGUGUCCUAUAGAGUUGAGUUACCACCGAGGUUGAAGAUUCAUAUCGUCUUCCACGUAAGUUACAUAAAAUCAUAUCACGAAGACAAGAAUUAUCCAAGCCAAGGGAUGUCCUAGAUGACACCUACAUCGAUUAUGACCUUCUAUGACAAGGAAGUAGAACACAUCAUUGCAGGCUGAGUCAUCAAGAGAUGAGGCGUGCCUCCUGCUACGGAGUACUUGGUGAAAUGGAAGGGACUACCAGAGAACGAGACUAGCUGGGAGCCAAUAGAUGCACUAUGGCAAUUUCAGGAGCACAUUAAGUGGUUCUAGGUGGAAGGUGCGACAAGGACGUUUACGGUUUAGGUAGGGGAGAGUGUCAUAGAAUGCUUCAAAUGAGCCUCCCCAGGGGUUUAUAUAGAGCCUAAGAAGCUUUUGGAGACUCCUACACUUAGUCAUUGGUGGGAAAAUGGUGGAAGGUUCUAAAGAUGUCUAAAGAUAUCCACACAUCUCUACACUAUGGUGGAAGGUAUGAGAGAAGUCCAAGGCUUUCUAGAAAAUUCUAGAGAUCUCUUGUAUAUUCUUGUACAUAGGCUUGUACAUAGAAUUGUGUAGGAAGUUUUAGAUUAUUCUUGAGUUGUAAGGAACCCUCCAAGAUUCCAAAGAGUUUCAUUGGUGCCUAUAAAUAGGUGAAGGCCUCAUUUGGCCAAGGCACCAAGCAAGUGAGUUCCAAAGCACUUGUAAAGCUUCUUUUAAGUAAUAAAAGCUUCCAUCCUUCAAGAUUUAUCUACUACGCCUUAUAAAGCUUUCAAGUUGUGAGCAUCUUAACCUAGCAAGCUGAGCAUUGGGAGCAAAACUGACUUAGCAAGAUCAAGGGUCUUGACUUGUCUAAGUGUCGCACGAGCUUAGGAAAAGACUAAGUUCAUGACACCUAGGACUAGUAGCAUGCACCCUAAGUAAUCCAAGGCUAGAAAUGAAAUGAUACAAGGAUUCCCAACACUUGACUUAAUUCCUUAGAAAUUGAAACUCAAUAAAAAACAUUAGUGUCAUUAACCUCAUUUUUUUUAUUACCAAUACUUAAUUAGGGGAAACCUUGAGCUAACAACCUCCUCAUUUUUUAUGAUGAUAAAACUGUACCAUCUAAAGAAAGCUUUCCUUAAUGUAUGCAUAUUAUAAGCAAUUUAAACAUUCAUCAUAAAAGAUGGAAAACAUAAACUCAAAUGGAGACAUGGAUAUAUAGAUAUAAGAGACAUCAUAAAGGUUGCAACAUGAUCGUAUAUCCGAAAUAGCAUCCAAAAGCAUGUCAUCCAAAAAAAAAUCAACCAUAAUAACCAUGUUCAAAUUGUCCCAAAAAGGAAAAAAAUAUAUAUAUGAAACAAAAAGUAUUAAAUAGUUUACUAAAUGUUAUGCCCUAGAUACCUAAAGAUAUCUCCCCCUUAGGCAACAUCGAAACAAUGAGGGAACUAUAUGGCUCAAGGUUGAGGUGGUGGAAACAAGGAACAUAGGACAGCUAUUGAAGAAGCUAAAAUUCUUCAUAAAUGAUUGAAUUUUAUUUCACCAUGAGAAACAAUACAAAGAGGGAUUUUUUUUUUUUUUUUUUUUUUUUUAUCAAGGGGAAGACCCCUUUCUCUUUACUACUUAUCCCUUUUAAUAAAAAUUCUUCCACAUUUUUCCACUUUAUUUUGCCAACAUUCUUUCAACCCCUUUUGCACAAAAAUGCCAAAGAUAGUAUUAGGAUAACCUUUUACAACCAUUGCUAACUUUUGACACAAGUUGCUAAAAAUUGUUGAAGAUUUGCUUUUAAUGUCAGGUAGGAUAGCAGAUUGGUUCUAAUUGAAGGUCAUUUCUUGUGGAGGACCUUACUUAUAAGUGAGAUGAUUGUUCCUAUCUUCAUGGUUUUAUGUUGUAUAGUUAUAGAGACUUUUUAGAGGCUAUCAGCUUUAGAGCAAAUUUAUGUUGUUUGUUAGGGAUUAAGUAUUUUAUUCAAAUUGGGUGAAUGGUACUACCUCUUUACUUGAGAUGGCUUUGAGAUUGGGUGGUUGAAUAGUAGUACUUUGGAAUGGUCUAGUUUUUGUUCGCUUUAGCUAUCAUUUUCUUAUGCUGUGUCUAUAGACGAGUGGAGACGUCAUUUGGAAAUUGGUCAAAUUGCCCGUGAAAUUGAUCAAAUUGUCAAGUUGUCAUCCUAAAAUUGACUAAACCUAGUUUGUAAAAAUGAGAAACGACCGUCACUAGCGACUAACAUCUUCUCAAGCUAAGUAUUAAUAGAUCCAAUCUGAGCAUAAAGGGCAUCUUAAUGUUGCAGGUUCAAUGCUCAUGAAGCAUAAUAUUUUGGAUACUUGGUGUGAGACACCUCAGCAUAAGUCUAAUCCAUAAGGAUAGUCUCCUCAGGAGGUUGAGAUGUGGGCAAUUGAAUGGUGGCAUCCAUGCCCUUGGUUUGCAUCUCCUGUUGAACAUCCUCACCCCCUAAUCCUUUAUGGUCACCCUCAGUCUCUAUCUAUAGAAUCUCUGCCUCUUACUCAACCCGGUCUUCAUUCAUAGCAGGACCCUUUCUUUUUCUUUCCAAUGAUCCAUUAGGCAAUUUCUCAAACAGCAUUCGGUCUGGAUUUUACGUUAUAGGUAUCAUAGGAUGAGGCCUGAAUGUUUUUUUCUCUUCUUAUGUCCACAUUGAAUGCUUUCAGGAUUUUUGUGAUCAGUCUUCUUCCGUUGGCCACUACUUUAGAAUUGCUUUUACAACAGUUUUUCAUGUGUUGAAAGAUGAUAAGGAAACCUUAGAAUGGAUCGGAGUCAAUAGAAAAUGCUACAUAAUAGGACACCUUGUCUCUAUGUCCACCCUUAGGUAGAAAAAUAUGUUUGAUCAUGUGGUGGUGCACCCUAGAGAUAAUGCUCAAGGCAUGGGCAUGGAGCUUUGAAGUCACUGUGUCGAUGGGUAAGUUACAUAUCCUCUAGAAAGCCCUACCUAGGUUAAAACUAGACACUAUAGGCCAUCCCUUCGUCUCAAAUAAACAAAGUCCCCCACAAAGGAUCUCCAAAAUAUCACAAAGCAUAUCAAUAUUUAGUUUAAUUCAACUCCUCUAACAAAUGUGCUAAUUGGCCUUCAUAUAUUUUAGGUUCAAGUAAAAUACCUGAACAAGGUUGGGGUAUGUAGGCUCUCUUGAUGAGAUGGUAUUGGUGAGUAUUUUUUUUUCUUCAAUACAAAACUAUUACAACACUUGGUUUUUUUUUUUUCUAAAAAAAAAAGAAAAAUAAAAAUAGUUUUAUAUUAUACUUAGUUUCAAGAAAAAUAAUAAUCAAAGCAAAAUGAAAAAAAAAUUCUCAUAUUGGUUUCUCGUGAAAAAUAUAAAAGCAAAUAAAAUACAAUUAAAAUUAAUUAAAAUCUUAUGUAUUUUUAAAUUAUUAAUUUUUAUAUAAAAAAUGAAAAAUAGUAUAAUGAAUUUAGAAGAAUAUAUAAAAAUAAUGUAUUAACUUUAAAUCUUUUUUUCUUUAUAUAUAUAUUUUCCCUUCAAUUUUCUAAUACCAACACAUAAUAAGGUUAAUGUCUUCUAGCCAACCAAUUGUAAGUCAAUUUUCAUAGAGCUUUUUUUUUUUUUUUUUUUUACAUGCCACCAAGUAGUUAUAUAAGCAUUUUUGCAUGUUAUUGUUAUCCAACAUACAAUAACUAUAACAUCCAAUUAUUAUGAACAUGAACAAUAAAAUUAGAUGCAACUAACUAUUUAGUGUAUAACAAGAAGUUGGUGAAGUAAUUCAUCCUAACAUGAUUCAACAAUUUUUGUUUAUUUUUCAAGAUUAAUUAUAACAUACCCAUUCUAUUAAAGUUGUUGAGAUAUUUGAGCAAAACUAAAAAUCAACAUUAAUUCAUUUUAUACCCACAAGAGAAAUAAGAUUUGUUUUUUUGUUUGAUAAUAAAGUAGUUGUAGUUAUUAAUGAUAAUUUUGAUCCUAAUUUAAUAGGUAUCCAAAAAAAAAGGAAAAAUGCAAGUAAACCAAUUCUUAUCUAACACAAUUAUUACCACCUUAAAAUCCUGAGGGGUAGCUCAGUUGAUCAGUUCGAGUCCCUUUAGGACCAUGAAAAGCUUACCCGAUGGUUCACCUUAAGAAAAGCAAAGCAUUUAUAUAAUUCAACUGGUAGUUGAUAAGUCUUAGAAAGGGUUUUGCCAUCAUUGGCUUCUCAGUAAAGGGCAAAUUUGGGUUGUGGCUGACAAUUAUUGAAUUUGUGAAGAAAUAUGUGAAGAAAGGAAACAAAAAGAGUUGAGGACAGAAUUCUUCAAUUAAAAAAUGGUUAGCCCAUGAACCCAUUCUUCAAACAGUAAGCCAAUGAGCCAAUGAGCCAAAAAGAAAGAAGAACAGCUGGUUUCAUCUUUUUAUCUUAAUGACUUUGACAACCCAUCUUUCUUUUAAAUACUUGUGACUUUGGAAUAUAAUUAAAAUGAAACUUUGGAAUGCCCACAUCUGAUUCACGGCCUUUUUACCUGUUUUCUUGUUUAACAUUUUUUUAAAUAUUAUAACAGAUGGAAAAACAUGAUUCUAACAGGCUGGAAAAUAGUGGAAGUUGGAACACCAACCAUAACCAAACUAUACCUUCCAUCUUUCUCCAACACUCGGAAUUAUUGAUACAAGUUGGUGGUUUUAUGAUUGUUUCUAUUGAGGGGACCCCUCUCCAUUUCCAAUUUCAAUGGAAAGGUUCUUCUUUCCCUACUUUUUUUUUUUGUUUUUCAAAUUCUUGUAGUUUUGUCUGUCUCUCUCAACAAAGCAAACUGCAAUCACUAAUUCAAAGAAAAGGAAUCCUAAAUGAAAAGAAAAGAAAGGAAAGGAAUGGUAAUUUAGGCUAUGAUGAUGCUCCUAUAUAAUGGCUGUAAGUCAAUAACAACACACUGGACCCGCCUCCUAUCUCAAAAGAUCACAAACCCAAAUAUCAUAUACUUCCAAAUUUCAAUUUGGUUCCCUGUUUAUAUCACAAUCUGUCCUAUAUCCUCUUAAUACAUCUAAAAUCUCUCUAUAUCAUAAAAAUAAUGAUGGAAAAAAAAAUUAAAAAGAAAGAAGGAAAAAAUGACAAAAAAAAAAAAACCUUGGUGCUGCUAUGGGUCCAUAGGAAUUGGCAGGACUGCACUUCUGGAUCCCCUUCCAUGGCCAAAAGAAAAGAAUGAUCUUCGGAAUCUGCUGCUGCAACCUUCACUAGGGCUGAAGUCACUGACAGGCCUGUUCUGUUGCAAAAUCUCUUGAAUUGCUAAAUACAGCUGCCUGUCGUUGGAUGAGUCCAUUGAAAAAGACCUCCUGAUGGGUUGGAUUGAGAACUGAUCAUCUUUGCCUCUAGUGUCAAUGCACUCAUCACCCAUGCUUGCAACAUGAUGAAACUUCCUUGCCUUUUUAGGCACAAUUCUCUGCUCUAGCUUCCUAGGUGAUGGACUAAUUGAUGGCGCAGAUAACUCUCUGGAAUUCAGUCUUUCUGGUGGCCUAAGCAGUGAUGAAUCAGCAGAACUAUCAUUUCCCAAUUCAAUUACUACAAAAUCUUCAUCCCCUCCUAUGUAAUUAUUGGCGUAGGGGCUUGGAUCUUGGGGGGAAGAGCUAGGAGCAAUGAUUUGGUGAACAGGAAACCGGGGUGUGGUUGAAAUGCUUGUUCUGCAAAGUGGGCAAUUAGCAUUGCUUUGAAGCCACACGUCUAUGCAAUCUAUAUGAAAUAUGUGACUGCAGUUUGGUAUGAUUCUUAGCUUCUCUUCUUCUUGAAACUCAUUCAAGCAAACCGCACACUCGCAAUGGCUUCUUUCUCCAAACUCUCUGCCACCUCCUUUCCUGAACUGGAAUAUUGGGAUUGAUCUGAUGACUGACUCGUCCAGGCCUCGACUCUCGAUUGCUGGGGAGUACACCAUUAAAGGGUCUUCCGGGUGCCGACUCCUUGAGAAAGAAAAUCGUCUCAGCAGAUCAAUCCGGUGCCAAUUGAGGCAGCAUUUGAUUACAAAGAUGUAGUAGCUCACCAGCAAGAAAGCAGUGGCCAGGAUUCCUAUUACGGCAAUGGCUAUAAUGGGGAAACUGGUGUCCGAGGAAUGAGAGGGAGAAGGAAGCACUGAGCUCGCCUGGCUUUUGAUGGGAGAAAAGGCUUGUGAUCCAUGGAUGGAGGAGUCUGUGCUCACAAGAUCCAUGAGAGAGGCUAUGAAAAACAUUUAGAAAUGAGUCUAUUCGGAUCUUCAAUUCACAGAAACAUGCAAAUGCUAGAAUAAAAUCGACAGACACUCAGAUAUAGACCCUACAGUUGUAAUGCAGCAUACCAUAAAUGUGAUUGAGUGAGUGAGGCUGAAACAGCAAAUGGGUCACUUCAAGAUCUCAACAAGACAGAAAACCCAUGUUGAAUUCACCAGGAGAGUAUUGAAAAGGGAAAAAUUAAGGACAUAUAGCUGUAUUGAAAGUUGAAACAAAUGCAGAAACAUAGAGAAGAGAGAGAGAGGGAGAAAACCCAGGAGGGUUGAAUGAGAGCGCUGCUGGGGAAGACAUCAAAACGCUUCAAAUUCAAUGAGAAUCUGUUGGGGACCUCUUUAAGAGGACUGCACAAAGCCUGAGCGUAGGGUACGUGGUUGGUUGGUGAAUUUCUCGGCUUCCAAAAGAGAAAUUUGGUGAGAAAAUUUUCAAGUCUCUUGAUUAUAGUAACGUAGCGUUUAUUUUAAUUUUAUGUAACCGAAACUAAUGGGCUGGUUCAAAAAAAUAAAAAAUAAAAAAAGGAACUUUCUAGGAUAGGCCAGCAGUCCACCGUUGGUCAUGUGGUUUCUUUUGCAUGUCCACAUCUUCCAACUAGUGGAGGUCCCUGUCACAACAGUAAGAAAACACCCAAUUGAAUAAAAGUAUGAACUUUUGGCUCCCAAUAUUACUUAUGCCCUCAUUCAAUACCUCAAAUAAAGCAGAGAUUUUGUGUCCCAACUUUUAUGAUUUCAUUUCAUCUUACUUCAAAUGCUAAUGACAAAAGUCCAAGUAUAUUCUGUAAUCACCCACACCCCAAUAGUUUUGAAUCACACUUGAAAUAGUUCCCAUGCUUUCUUAAUAAUUUAGAUAAUUAUUUACAGAAAAAAAAAUUCAGAACAGGAUGAUAAUCAUUUUGUGAUAGCAUGGAAGAAACUUUACUAGCCACUUUGGCCCCAUGAAGUUGAGUACUUGAUGCCAAUUAAUGGCAGGGUGGAAAAUAGAGAAAAGGGAUCAUAGUCAAAUCUAGAGUACAAGGCAUUGAAUCUUUGUUAAUAAUUAACAAAUGGGUAAAGCAUGGGUCACAGGGUCUACAGUUUGGAUUGCAAAAACCUCAGGCUUCUAUAAAAAGCUCAUCCAUUAUCAAUCAUCAAUCUGAAAGCCAGAAAGUCCAAGGCACAUGCAACCCACGACAGGGGUAAGAUUUCUGCAUCAUGUCCCUGAGUUGCAUUCACAUCAUAUGUUUCCCUCCGGGCCGUUCCAAUUUGAAAUCUCAUGGAAAUCUUCAAGAGCAAGGCUACAGAGUUUAAGAUAAUACUAGGGGUGGGUCCUGAUGGGAAAAGAGGUAGUGUAGGAUAGUCAAUAAAGGGCAUGUGUCUCUGGUGUGAAGUCAAAUCCAGUGUACCAUCCUCAAUGGAAAAUUUAGAAAUAGAACCGACACUCUACAGACUGCCGUGUUGACAGAUUAGAGAAAGACAAACCCACUUACACUUGCCUCAAAACCCAGUCCUGCCAUUUCAAAGGCAAAAAAAAAGGGUUUCUUUUUAUAGUCAAAGGUUGAGGCCUGGCCUGGCCUAGCAAAGAAACUUCACCUACUCUUUUCUUAUUUUUCAAAUUAAGGCCAUUCAACUUUUCCUGUUUGCAGGCUUGCUGCCAUAUCUUACUCCAAAAAAGGUGAAAACCCAAAAGAAAAAGAGUGUUUGCUUCAAUGGAAAACUCAUGUUUAAUAAAUUCACCGCACGAGUUUUGUUCCAGCUUUUCCUAUGAAAGCUGUGAUGCGUUUGGUAUGAAGUUGAUUUUGUUCCUAAAAAUUUUGAUCUUGGCGUGGAAGGCAACUUUUUCCUUUUCCCCCUUUUUCUUUUUGAAAAGUUCGGCAUUAGUUACCAAAUGUCCUUUUACUUGCAUGUAGGACAGCGGAAGCAUUACACAUCGCAGCAAAAUCCCAUUUACCCGAAUUUUCCACUAACUCUUUUUAUUUUUUACCAUCAUUUUUUAAUAGAAGUGAUGCACUCUUCAAAUUACAUGAAGCUUUUAAGAAGGUAAUAACCCGUUUCAAAGCGAACUUAACCUACAGAGUAUGUUUUAAAAAUAUUUAGGUAUUUGAUAAAAUUUAAAAAAUAUUUUUUAAAAUCUUUAAAAUGAUUUGUAAUAUUGAAAAUUUAUUUAUACUUUUUUUAAUAAAAAAACAUUUUAUAGGUAAUUUUUCUAAAAUACUUUUAGAGAAAAUGUCUUCCCUUCACUAUAAAUAUUAUAUACUAUCAAAUACACUUUAAAAAUCUGUUUAACAAUAAUUUUAUAAAGUGUUUUUAAUUUUAAAAAUAUUUUUAAAAACAAAUUAAAUUUUUGAUAAAAUUUAAAAAAUCUUUUUAAAAAUUUUGAAAAAUAUCUCGUAAUAUUAAAAAAUAUAUAUAUUUAUAAUGUUUUUUAUAUAAAUACUCAAAAUUCAUUUAAUAGUGAUUUUAGGAAAUGUUUUUAAUAUUUCUAAUACUUGAAAAUUUUUUAUCAUUUAAGUAUUAAAAAUAUUAAAAACACUUUAUAAAAUCACUUUCAAAUGGACUCUUAAUGAUUUUACUAAAAACACUUUUCAUAGAAAACAUUUAUAAAAAAUAAUUAUGAAAUACACUCUAAAUUAAGUAAAAGUUGUUUUUAACAUUACCACUAUUUAUUAAUAGUGCAUUUGUUUAAAAUAUUUAUAUGAAAAAUUCAUUAGGGUGGGAUAUAAAUAUAGAAGUGUUUUUCUUUAUAUAUUUUUUAUAAUAAAAAAUGAUUUUUGAAAUUAUAAAAUUUGAAUUUAAGAAUCAUUUGAUAAUAAUUUUUGUUAAAGCACCUUUAAUACGUGGUGCUUCUAUUGAUAGCGCUUUCAUUUCUAUGAAUGGCUAUAAAUUAUAUUUGAAUAAAUUUUUUAUAAUGUAUUAUAUAAUAAAAAAAAAGUCAUUUUUAAAAAAAUUAUACAUUAAAUGAUUAUUCAAAUAGUAUUUCCUAAAUUUUAUUAAACAUUUUUUUCAAAAAAAAAAAAAAAGUUUUCAAAUACUAGAAAACGUUUUUAAUCUCUCACACGAUCACAUCCAAACAAGUCCUAAUGCUACUCCUAGAAACACUCCAAAACAAAAGUCUUCCUCUAUUAAUGUUCAUAAAAUCCACAUAUAUUCUUCCAUCGUUUUUUCAAAAUUCAAAAUCAUUUCUAAAACAUCAAAUCAUGUUCUUUGGAUUGGCUGACUUGUUUUUUGAAAAUAGAAGGCUCAUUAUUGACGUCCGUUGACUUCAUAACCCAGUCUUGAUCUCUUGAUGGAGGGCAUAAAUGUAAAUUGGACGAAACCCUAGGGUGCGCUAGAGUGUAGAGGAUGAAAGGUUGGAAAAAGGAUGAGGUGGGGGUGUAAUAAAGAGGAGGGUUGGGAGAAUGGGACAUGUGUAGGUGAAGCAUUAAAUUCAAGACUAUGCUUACCAACAACAUAUAAAUAAAUAAAUAAAUAAAUAUAGGAACAGCACAUGGGGUGAGUAGGAGACAUCAGAAGAUGUGAACAACCCCUUGUCAGUCCAAUUUGCGUCUUUUAUCUACUCUAUUAUCUAUAUCGAUUUUCGUAUUUAUUUAUUUAUUUAUUUAUUUUUACCAUUUGAUUUUGCAUGGAUGUCGAAGGGUUUAUUGGCUGCCACGUGUAGGGUUAUGGUCAAGAUCACGUGGGGUGCCUACAUGGGAGUCACGUGAGUGCAUGAGGCAGGCUUGAAUUGCAGGAGGAGCAGGAGCAGAGCAGUGGCUGUUGUCUUAAGACUUUGCUCUCUUGGUGGAACUGCAGCUUAAGCAGCAUCCACGUGUUGUCACGUGCAAUGCGAGCCAUCCACACCACCAGUUUCUUUUUAGUGAUUUUCUAAAGUCAGUUAAGGUUGCAGUCAAUACCUUCAAAUGUUGACAGAGUUAGGGAUCUUUGUUAAAUGGAUUUUAUUAAGAUAUUAGUAAGUUAAUUAAUUGAGGGUCAACAUAACAGAUGGGUCGGGUUGGGUUGAAUCUGAAUUUAAAACGAUUUAAUUUAUGUUUAAUCAAAUUUAACAUUUAACUCGAAGCACUCAACUUAAGUUUAAUUGAAUCUUAGUUUUCAAAACAUUAUUUAAAUUUGGGUCAUUUGGAUUAAAGUCAAAUGGGUUAGAUUAAUCGGGUUAUAUGGUUCAAAAUCCACUUACCUUAUUUUUUAUACAUUAAUAUUAAAAUUUAAAUAAAAAAUAUUAGAAGAAAUUUCAAACUUGGGAUUAGUUGAUUGUAGCCAUGCAUUUGGAUGUUGGUAUUCUUGUUUCUUGUCUUGUUUCCAAAUACCCUUUCAAAUCGCUUUGUUAUUCAAUAGCAUCCUCCCGAUCAUUUAAAAAUUUAAAGAGCAUUGGUAUGAUGGAGGAAUUCAGAAAUUUUAGUUGAAUAAGUAAAAUUUUUCUCUCAUAAAACCAAAUAGCCUCUAUAGCUCAGUGGUAGAGCGUCAGUCUUGUAAACUGAAGGUCUGUAGUUCGAUCCUGCAUGGAGGCAACUUUUUAUAUUUCAUGAUCCAUUAUGCUCUAGUGAUUUAGUUUUCAUUAUAAUUUUAGAUUAAAAAAUUACAUCAACAUUUGAUAAGUUGGUUAUGACUUUGAUAUAAGGAUGAAACUAUCAAUAAUAUAUAUAAAUAUUUUGACACAAAAUAUCUAAUAUAUUAAAAAAUUAAAAAAAAACUCUAAAAAACAUUAUAAAAUUAUAUAUAUAAUUUAUCAUAUUUAAUAAUAAUAUCUUCUACCCUAAUAAAAAAUAUAAAUUUUAUAAGCAUACAUUUAUUAUUACAUUGUAUUAUAUAUUAUUUUACAAGAAUAUUAUGAUAACAUGUCUAAUUUUAAAAUAUAUUUAAUAUUAAAAUUAUCAUCAAUUUUAAUUUAAAUGUAUUUAAUGAUAUCAAAUAAUAUAUAUAUAUAUAAUUUUUUAAUAUUUAUAUAUUUUUAUAUUUAAUAAAUAUAUAAAUUAUGUAAAAAAAAAAGACCUAUUAAGAAGAUUAUGUUUUUAUAUUUGGAUCAAAAUUAAGUUUUUCCGAUAAAAUAUAUGAAACUAUUGAUAAAUUAUUGAUUGAAACGUGAAAAAAAAAAUUCAAAAAAUAGAUGAGAUAUUAGUAAAAUAUCCGAAAAUAUUGAUUGAUGAAUAUAUCAUUUCAAAUUUUGCAUCAACAUCCACAUAUGUUGGAUAUAUUGGCCAAAUAUAUUUAAACCUUGUUUCCAUGAGAAGUCUUUCCUUCAACAAUUUCAAAAGGUUAAUGAGGUGGUUUCCAAGAGAUGUGUGUAGGGGUCUCCAACGGGCGGGCCGGGCCAGCGGGCUUUUUGAAAUAAGCCAAAAUGGCUUUCAAAAAAGGGAAGGGAGAGGAUUUAAACCCCUUCCUUCAUGCUUAAAUUUCAAGGUUCUAACCAAUUGAACUACAUUCCUUUAAUGUUUAUUAAUUGAGUUAGUUAUAUAUAUAUAUAAAAAUAAAGUAUAUUAUUUUUUAAAGGGGCGGGCCUACGGGCUGGGCCGGGCCGAAAGCGGGCCACGGGCCACGGGCUUUUUGGAGACCCUUGGAUGUGUGCAAUCACAUUUGGUAUUAUAGGUGACAAAGUUUGAUAAAUGAGUAAUUAUUAGGUUAACUUAUAAAAUCCGAAUUUGAUUUAAAUUGAUUCAUUUAAUAAUCCCAUUUAUUUACCCAAUUAAAACUUUAAAUUAUUUAACUUAUAUUUAAUUUAAUUAAAAUUUGUUUUUAAAUAAAUAGAUCAAUUAAAACAUAAACAUAUUUGAUUGAAACAUUAAUAAUAUAGAUUUAAAUAAGACCUAAUUCAACCUAACGAUCAAAUAGAAAUAUCUAAUUAUUAAAUAAAUUAAACAUGUUACUUGCUUAAUAAUUAUGUGACAUUUGAAUUUAUGCUUUUGAUAUAAUUAUUAUUUAUAUCAGGUUUAUAUAAUGAAAUAUCUAGACUUUGACACCAGUCAACAUUGUCCACCAAUACAGAUUGCAACUCUUAUAUGCUACAUCACAUCAUGUUGAAGGAAGAGGAUGACGUUCAUUGGCAGCAGAGCCUCCAAUCAUAAGGAGCUUGAGCAAAUUCAAUCUCAACACUGAAAUUCACUAGAAAAAAAGUUUAUUAUUGAUACUUCAUUUGUGUAAAAGCAUUAUAUUUCUUGCAUCAAUCGUAAAGCAUGACAUUCCAGUAGGUACGGAAGAGAAAAUUUGUUAUGAAUUGAAAAAUCUGUCAAGCUUAAUUUGGAGGGCCCAAAAUUGACACGUUUAAGAGCUCUAUCAUUAGCCCAAUGAUAAGAGUCCAUUUCUUGAGUUUCAAGGAAGGCCCAAGUUUAACUUAGAGGGCCCAAUCUUGGUACCUUCUAAAAGGUGCAAACUUUGGCCCAAUUAUAAAAGCUUAUCCUUGCUUCCUAAGCAUCAAUGAUAUAUUUGAUCGAAGUAUUCACAUAACUAUCACGAAAUGAAAUGAAAUGAAAAUGUAUAAGUAAAUGAUGAUUUUGAGUUAUUUACUGACAAUAAAGAAUUAGGUGGUGUUUGUUUUUUUUUUUUUGGCUUUUUACUAAAAGCAAUUUGUUUUCAGAAUUUAGGUUAUUUAUUUUUCUAUUUUUUCAUGACUUAUUAUAAACUUUUUACUAAAUAAGAAAAUCCAAAAUAUAUAGUUUUUUCUAAAUAGAAAAAAUAACAUAUUGGUUUUCUUUUUUUUUUACUUUUUAAUAUUUAAUAGAAAUAAAAUAUUAUAAAAACAAACAACCUAAUAUUUAACACUAUUAAGUAUUAAGGUUUUAUUUAGAAUUAAGUAAAAAAACAAACACUACCUUAAAAUGAAAAGUAUGUAUAAUGACCUUAUACAAAAAAAGUCUCAUUAUUUUCUUCCAAAGAACUCAUACUUUUGUUUUUCAACUAUUACUUUGUUUUUAUUUUUUAAAUAAUAUUUCAAGUUUUUUUUAAUAAUACCUUUCUCUUUAUUAGAUAAUUUUAAUGACUUUAAAAGUAUUUUAAUAUAUUAAUUUAUUAUAUAAUUUUAAUGAUUUAAAAAUAUUUAAAUGUUGAAAUAUUUAUUUUCAAGUCUAAUUUUAAUUAUUUAUUUUUUGAAGUAUUUAAAUAUAUAAUAAAUGUGGGAUUAUGUAAAUCUAGUUGUAAUUAUUUAUUUCAUUCUAUUCAUGUUUUUAGUUGAAUUUGCUCAAAAUUUACACCUCUUUAUUUAAAGAUCAUGGAUUAGUUAGGUGUCUUGAGAUUUUUUUUCUCUCAAGACACUACUUGUUACACUAGAAAAUAAUUUGUGGCUAUAUUUUUUAGGCAAAAAGAAUUAUAUGUUAAAACUUCCUUUAUUGACUAGUUUAUCAUAGGGUGUAGAGGAAAGUUUGUGAUGUCUUUUUAUGUCAACUUUGGGAGAAAAAUAUCACUUUAGCAUUUUCCUUAGAAAAUUUUCAUACAUAAUUGAUUUUGGAACUAUGGAGGAGCAUAAGUAGGGAUAGAUAAUUCGAUUUUGGAAAAAUUAUAAUAGCUUUUCAACUUGGUGUUAAUGAUAUAUUGUUUAUUUCUUAUUUUUUUUCCAUUUUAAUAUAUAAUUGGGGAUUUUAAACUUGUAGAACAAGGCUUUUUCAAUUGAAUUGACACGUACAUAUGAAAGUUCUCUUUGGUUGCUAAUCACAUUUUUUUUUCUUUUGCUUUUUGUUUUUAUCAUAAUGAAUAUUGAACUCGAAAUUCAGUUUUUAAAAUCUUAUGAUGUUUUAAAGUUUAUAAAUAUUAUUGAUUUUUAUAAAUGAUGUUAUUCAUAUCUUGGUAAAGACAAUAUUUUCAUAUCGGUCAAGAUGAUUAAUAACAUAUAAGUUCAUAAAGAAAAACCUAUUGAUUAAUGGAUAUUUAAUGAUUUUUAUUAGGAAUGUUUUUUAAUUAGUUUCAAUACUCAUCUUUUAGAGCAUACAUAUAGGGUUUUAGAUGCUACAUUGGUUUUCAGCUUGUGAUUUAAAUUAUUGAAGCAAAAAAUGAGGGUUUUGCUUUAUGGAACUAUCUAAAGGGAGGUGAAUUAGGCGGUCUUCCUUUUUAAAAUCCAAAAAUUAGAUUUUUAAUACUUAUAUUAGUUAUACAUGUGUUCAAUAAUUAAAACAAAGAACAAGUCCAUAAUUUACAUGUGAUGUGCAUGGAAAAACACCUACAAAUUCUCUCAAAUACUUUACAAAUGAAAAAAAAAUCAAGGAUCGAUCAAUCACAGAGCAACUUCACUAAAUAUGAAAACAUGACUAUACAAUUUUACUUGGAUGAGGUGCUACCUUCUCUUAAGGGUUUUUACACUAGCCAACAAUUACACUCACCUUCACUCUCACCAUGCACCUCUAUUGUGCUCCAUAGUAAACACUUUAAUGACUGUAGCAAGAUUGCGAUAAAUUACUGCGAUUAAUUUGAGAGUGUUGAUAAUGAACAAAAAAUAAUGAUAAUUAACUAGAGAGCAUAUGAUUUUGUAAAAACACCAAAAAGAGGCAUAGUUAUAAGUGAAAACUUUAAUGGAUUGGAUUGAAUAUAUAAUUGAAGUAUGAAUGAAAAAUUACCAAAACAAUGUUCAAAACCGUGCUAAUCAAAGCACAAUCACUUGAGUACUCUCAUGGGGCACUUGAAUGCUCCUUUUAAUCACCGUAAUGCUGAAAUUAAUAAUUUGUCUCAAAUUGUUUUUCCAAAACAUAAAGCAAAAUAUUAUAAAUUUAUAUAAUCAAACCCAAUUUCAUCUUAAAGCUAGCCUACUUAGUCUUAAUUCAUGUCCAAAAAUACUCAUACUUGUCAAAGAAUGAAUAUGGUAUAAACAAAUUCUUUAUUUUCAAUUAUAUUCAAUUAUUGAAAGAAUAAAUCGGUUUACAUACAUUUUGAACAAAGGUAUAUACACAUAGACUAAAUCAAGGAAAUGAGGAAAUCAAUCACAAUCAAAUCAAAAUCAAAUGAUAGGUUGAUAUCUAGGAGAAGGUUAAGUUAGAACCAACUCAUGUAUUCAAUAUUCCCCCUUAAGAUGGCAUAUGGAGAUCAUGAAUAUCAAACCUAGAAAGUAAGGGAUAUGAAAUAUCUAUACCAAGGGAUUUUAUGAAAUAUCAACCAAUUGUUGUUGUGAUUAAACAAAUUGAAUAAGAAUAAUUUCAUUUCGAAUCUUUUCAUAGAUCAAGUGACAAUCAAUUUCAACGUGUUUAUUCUGUUCAUGGAAAAUUAGAUUAAUAGCAAUGUAUAGAGUUGUAUUAUUGUCACAAUAUAGAUGCAUUGACCAAGGAUGAUGAACUCCAAAAUCUAUAAGUAAAUAUUGCAACCAAUGCAAGUAGUAAUCAUUAAAUAAUAUUUCACUUUUCUUCAUGAGUGUUAUAUCAUUGAUUGCUUUUUAGAUCUUCAAGAGAUUGAUAGGCCACCAAGUAAAAUACAAUACCCUAUAAUUGAACAUCAAGAUUAUGCACAAUAGGCAUGGAGGAAGGCAAAAGAAUUCCUUGACCUAGACGAUUUUUUAAAUAGUAUAACACUCAUGUACUUGUGAGAUAAUUGAGACUACAUUGGCUUGUCAAGAAUUUGAACAUAAUUAGCAAUAUUAAGCCCUAUCAUUAUGAGUCAAAGUAACUUCCCAAUCAAAUGCCUAUAAUAAGAAGCAUCCAACAAAGGUUCUCUAUCUAAUUUACUCAAUUCCAAAUUUUGUUUCCUAGGAGUUUUUAAAGUUACAUGUUCCAAGAAAACCAAAAUCUUUUAGUACUUCUAGAGCAUGUUUUCAAUAACUUAAAUAAAUCUCAUUCUUAAAAUAUGUCAUUUCAAUGAUGAUGAAGUACUUUAAUUUUCCAAUCUCUUAGUUAGUUUGAAAAUGCUAUAUAGGUUUUCCUUGACCACCUUAAUUCCUUUAAGAUCAUUCAUUGUAAUAAUUAUAUCAUAAAUGUAAACAAGAAUGAUUGUGAAAUAGUUAUUUGAGGCUUGAGCAAAUAAGAAGUAAUAUGUACGUCUUGGCUUGCUUGUAAACCAUAAACAUCAAUGUGAUAGAUAAUUUGGCAAACCAUCAACGUGAAGCUUGCUCAAGGCCAUAAAGGGAUUUUUUAACUUUGCAAAUCAUAUUUUUGGUUCUAGAUUUCCUACAAACUUGGUGGAAGCUGCAUGUAUACCUCUUUAUCUAAGUCUUCAUAAAGAAAAACAUCGUUGAUGUCAAGUUGGUGAAGAUGUCAAAUUCUAAUUAUACAAUAAUUAGGGGUGACAAUGUGUCUUAUCGUGUUGAGGUGAGAAAUAGUGAAAAUUUACUUAAUCCGACUAUGACCCGUUUGAUAAUCGUGUCAAAAUAACCUAACAUGAAUACAAUUAGUUUAUUUCAUGUAACAUGACCCUUUUAACAUGUUUAAUAAAUAUAUUAACUUGGAUUAUGUAUUAAUUGACAUGAAUAACUCAUUAACUUGAUUUCAACCCCUUAAACUCAUUAACACAAUUCCAACCCAAUAAACUCGUUAAUAUGAUUUAACUCAUUAAACUUGUUAAUAGGAUUAUAACCUCUUUAACCUAUUUAAAAUUUUAAAUUUAUAAAUAAUAAAAUACUUCUAGAAAGUUUAAUUUUUAAAAUUUGAACUAUAAUACAUGUAUGCACCAAUUUCAUGAAGUCCUGAAAAAUUAGCAAAAUUAUAGAAAAAUAAUAUAAACAAAAAUUUGUAUUAAAAUUAAUAAGUAUGGGCUACAAUAUUAGUCAUAGUACUGCUUAUUUCUGAAUGACUUUAUUAAAAAGCGAAGAAUACAUGUGUAGUUCUUAUGUGAUUUCUUAAACUUGUAAGGCGAUUUUAUAAAGUUUUUUUUUUCUUUGUGAAACCUCUUUUUCUAUGUGAAAUUGUUUUGCCGAUUUGAAAUCUUCAUUAAAGGAAGUUACUAUUAUUUAUAAUUGAAAUUAGAGAAUGAAAUGUGGAAUCCCCAUGAUUUAGUUGCUUAAUUCAAGGAAUUUGAUUAAUUGAUUUUGGUAACUUGUCUCAUAAAAUUUUCUAACAAGAAUAUUUAUUUUUAAUCUCUUUUAUUUCAAUUGGAAUAUUUGUUUCCUUUGUAAAUUUGUCAAUAGAAUAUUUAUUUAUUUAUUUAAUUCUCUUUUGACUACAAUGAGAAGAUUUGAUUUUGUUUGUAAGACUAAAUUUUAUAACCUUUCAAAUUUGGCCAAGUGACACCUUUUGAAUAUAUGUCACAUGUCAAAUGUGUGUGACUCAUUAGUUGUUGAACCUAAAUUUUCUUGAAUUAGAAAGCUAUACUUUUGAAGACUAAUUUAGUGAUAAUUUAAUUCAUUAAAUUUUUUUGGUGUCUACAGUAUAUUUAUAAUAUGAAAAGUAAAUUAAAAUUUUAAUUUUUUUACUUGUUUAUUAUUUUAUUUAUUAUUUAAUGAUAAAUAUUUUUAUUCUUUAUUGAAAUAUAUAAAAUUUUAAUUAAUAUUUUAAUUUUUUUAAUUUCUAUAUAUAAAAUAUAUAGAUUUAUAUGGUCUAAUUGAGUCAUUAAAAUAAAUAGGGUAAAUAACUCACACAUAAGUGAUGGAUCAUUCUAACAUGAUUAAAUUAACAAGUUAGAUGAAUUGAGUAGUCAAAUACAAACAUGAUUUGUUUAUUAAAUAAGUUAUAUGAAUUGAUACGAUUAUGACAUCAACUCAAUUAAACUUAACUCAAAUAAGCUUUGUCUUUUAUUUUAAGUUGUCUAGUUGUUCACACAAAUUUUCUCAAAAUAAAGAAAUUAUAUAUAAAAUUGUAAAUUUGAUUAUUUGAGGGGACCAUUUUCAAUACUCUUUUUUAAGUAAUCUGGUGUUUAAUUUUGAAUCAAAGGGGCUUUCAUUAACAAAUAAUAGACUGUAGUUUUCAUAUAAGAAGAAAUCUCAAGCCUUUUUUUCUUGAAGGAAUCUUUAAAUUUUCUUUGAUACUUUAAAAAAUCAAUCUUCUUUGAUUUUUUAAGAAAUCUUUGAAUUUUCUUAAAGUCUUCAAAAAAAAAAAAAAAAAAAAAACUGAGUUUAAGGAAUUUUUUUAAUAACUCUCCAAAUUUCUUUGAUAUUCCAAAGUGUCCUUUAGAAGGGGACAAAUCCUCUAUUUACAGGAUUGAGAGUUUUAUUUUAAUAUUAUCUCUUAAUUUUUAAGAAAUAACUCUCUUAUUUAUGAUAAUUACUAUUUAUUUUAUUUAUCAUAAUUAGUUGCCUAUGAUAAUUAUCAUAAUUAAUUUUUCUAGAGAUAAAUAAUUAUAUAUAUUUAAUUAAUCAUGAUAACUAUAAUAUUUAUUUAAUUUUUUAUUAAAUUAUUUUACAUAACAUAUCAAUAUAUAUUAUUAGUCAAUUAUUAACACCGAAAAUUAAUGAGUUGGCAUAAAAUUUAUCUCUCUAUAAUAGUAUCAAAGCGAGCCUUAAUAAUAACAUUGCUUAUAGUCAAUUUCACAUGCCAACUUUUUACUGGGCAUUGGCGAUUUCAAUUUUGAUAGUCCGGUUAGAAAAAGUAGGUAAAGAUUAUUUGAUGUGGUAGGUCAUUUCUUUCAUAAAGACGAUGGCGGUGAAUUCAUGAGACAGGUGAUAAAGGAGAGAUUCUUUCUUUUGGCUUUGGAAUUUUAAUGAGGUCCUCGAUCCUCAUCCAAAAUACACCUCUCCAAUUAUAAAAAUCUUAUUAAAAAAAAAAAGAUUUGACAUGUGCCUUUCGAACUGCUGGUUUUCUGUUCCAAAAAUGAGAAUGGUUUCAAGUGGAUGAAGGAAGGUGAAGAACCCUUGGUUUUGUUAAGCGAAAAGCCACAUGAUUAAAUAAACAUAAGGCGGCAAAGGCUGAAAAUUUAAAAUUAUACUAAGGAACCCACCCCACAGGGCGACUACACUUUUGGUGAAGCCACGAGAAUGAAAGAUAUCGAAGGUGACACCAAGACAUUAAGCAGCACCAAGGUUUCGAUAUAUUAUAAGAUGGGAUCUUAUGAAAGACGAUCUCUAAUCUCUCUCCAAUCUCUUCUUUAACCUUUUCUUACUUAAAUCCAUUUCCAUGGUAGGGCACAUGUCCAGCUGACCCUACCCCCUCACCUACCUAUACUGCUAUACCCUUUUGUAUAAUUUGAUAUGGAUUGGAAGCCACCCCAACAUCUUUCUAAUUGCUCGUAAAUGUUGAGGUGCCUUUCCAUUUUGAGGCUGCCCUAAUGUGUGGCUGAAGUACGUAGGAAAAAAAAAUUGUGAUACAUGCACUGACGAAUCAAAUCCCAAUGUCAAAUUAUUAGACUCACCUGGUUCUUAAAUUAUUGUGAAUGCCGCUGGCCAUGGAUAAAUGGAAUUAGUGCGUGGCUUAAUGAAAAUUUAUUUUGAAAGGGAUAUUAAUUUGAGAGAAUUUUGGCUGAUACUUGGAGUUGAACGUAAGCAUAUAUGACCUCAUUUCGGGUGUGAUAUUGUGCUUAUAACGAACCUUUCGUUCUUUCCAAUUCCAGUGGGUAUUAAAUAAUUAAAGAAUUCAUGGUUCGAAGGCGAAAGGUAGAAGACCAAAAAGGGAUUACAAAGCCAUCGGCUUGACCAUCCAGAUGCAAUGGAUACAAACUUUGGACUCUAUCGAAAGUUCUUUGGGCACGUGCCCAAGUGUCCUACCCAUAUGAUAAGUUACACGUGGCUAAUUGCGGACCGGUUGCUCGUGCUAAACAGGGUACUUUUUCUACGCAUAUAAGAUGUUUCACUAGUGGGGCUUCACCAUGCAAACUCAUGGAUGAAGACCCUGAGGCCAAGAUGAAGGAACAGAAAGAAGGCGGAGGAGAGGUUCGGUAUCGAGGCGUUCGGAGGCGGCCAUGGGGGAAGUUUGCUGCGGAGAUACGUGACUCGACUAGGCAUGGAGCGCGCGUCUGGCUCGGGACUUUCAAUUCUGCGGAGGAGGCUGCAAGAGCAUAUGACCGAGCUGCUUAUGCCAUGAGGGGUUCCUUGGCGAUUCUCAACUUCCCUAAUGAGUAUCAUACACCCGGCACGGCUAGCUCUUCAGCUUCAUCCUCAAUGCCCGAAGGUGAUCAGCAGGGAAAACAAGUCAUUGAAUUGGAGUACUUGGAUGAUAAGCUGCUAGAGGAUCUUCUCGACUCUGAAGACAAAAAGAACAAGAAAACCUGAAGUUUCUGCUGCCUCGAAUCCCCUGAAAUCUAGUGCUUCAUCGAAAAAAAAUCCCCUCGCUCCUGAUUAACAACAUUUUUAUUUUAGUCAAUGAAUGUGUUCUCGGAUCAUUAUAAGUAUUUCUGCCGAAGUCCAUUGAUUUUUGGAGACUGAAAAAUGUCAGAAAAAUUGGUGCGAACAGGUUUACUCCUUUCUAAAUUAUGCAAUUGAAGUAUUUGGAUUAGUGCGCAGUGUAAACAUCAAGGAAAGCAUGAUCCACUAUUUUAAGGAGCCUAAGUGCUUUCCCCUUUACUCUUUUAGGAUGUCUUUUCAGUGAAGAAAGUUGGGAGACCACCACUUACCCUUUUGAUUGGUAUAUAACUGCCAACUAAUAACUGGACUAACAUUUGGCCCGUCUGGCCCUACUUCUUUGACUUUGUUGUUAAUUUAUAACUUUAUGUGAAGUGGGGGCUGUUUGGGAAUGUGUGAAGCAAGGAUUUGAGCCGACUUCGCCUAAUCUGAUUCUCCAUAAGUGACUUCAUUUUAUCAUAUUGGUGUUUUUUUUCUUCUUCUUUUUAAAUGGCUGGGGAGGAGGGGAUUUGGGAGGGAUGCAAUGCCAUGGUUGCAUGCUGGAUUAUCCUUCCAAAUGAAACAUCCAUUUGGUUUCUAGUAACUAAUUGCAAACAAUUAAAGAGAAUAAAAUUUUAAGAUGAUUAAACAAUAAGUACCUAUGUCCAUGAAAAGGAGAGAAGUUCACUCAUGGGUGUUCAUGAAAGACAUCACAAAGAACCAUCAAUAUGAGAAGAAUCCUGAUACAAUUAACUUUCAUGCAUAAGAAAAGACGCUCAAAAAAGAAUAAUGCUUACAAGGAAAGAAUCUCACUACGAUCAACUGAAAAAAUAUUCCAAUUUAAUUGGAAAUCCUUACAUGGGAAGAAUAUCAAUAAAAUCAACUAAAAAAAUAUUUUAAUUUUAUAUCAAAAUAUUUGUGAUUUAACCCGUAUCAUUUCAUCAUGACUUCUUAUAAAUUUUGUUCCUUUUUAUCAACACCACCCCUUGAGUUGGAGCAUAAAUAUUUAUUAAGCUAACUUGAACAAGAUCUUGAGAAAUUUUGUCGCAGGAUUUGUUUGCACUUUUUUUUUUCAAAUAAAGUCAUAAUUAACUUUAAUAUGUUUAAUCAUUUCAUGAAAUACUAGAUUUUAAGCAAUGUUGAUAGCAUACUUAUGCCUGAAAGCUUUAUCCCAAAUCACAUGAGUACAUGAAGUGAUUGCAUCAUUAAUGGUAGUAUUAUUACUUUAUAUUCAACUUCUCCACUUGAUAGGAUGCAUGAAAGCAUUGUGCUUUCUUCUGUUUCAAGUAAUAAAGAUUAUCACCAAGAAAGGUGCAAUUAAUACCUAGUAACAGAGUACCUAGUGGUAGCAUGCACCUAUCCACUGAACUUGUACUCGACUCUAUGAGUGUACGUUACAUAGUCCUUUUUUCGAAGUCUAAAUGUCCCUUGAUAAAACCUUCUAAUAUUUGAGGUUUUGGUAACAUUCAUGUAUCAAUGAACAAAUUAAUUUACUAGCUAAACUUUAAAAUUAGGCAAUGUUUUUCAAUGGGUGAUCAAGAUCUUGGAAUUUUCAAUGUUGUUUGAAUAGCUUCCACACACAAGCAUAUUUUCUCCUAUUUAGGAAUAAUCCCUUUUUUGAAGGUGUGAUCUUUAUGCUCAAAAAAUAAAGAUACUCAAAAAUUUAAUAUUGACCUUCUCGUGAAGGAAAAGCUUUAUAACUAAUUUUUUUUGUGCAUUAUAUAUAUCCUCAAUAUAGACUUUAAAAAAAAAAGAAGUAACUCCCUCUACAAAGAGUGAAGAGUCAAUUAAACUUUUUUUUUUUUAAAAAAAAGGAACCAAUUACUCGUAAAAGUAAUGAUUAUUUUUACAUACCAAACUUGAGGAGAUUACUUAAGAUCACAAAAGUUUUUAUUAAAUUGCAAGCUAGAUGCAUUUGAAACGAUCGUUGAUGUCUUAGCAACACCUUAUGUAACUCAUCAAUCUUUAUGUAAAAAUGCAUUUUUAACACCCAUAUAAAAUAAUGAUCAAUCCUAAUUUAAUAGAAACAAAUGGUAAUACAUGAAUAUCAUUCAUAUUAAUGAGAAAAGUAAAUAUUGAUUUAUAAUCAACUUCUUAAGUUUGUGUCAAUGCCUUAAUCAUUAGUUUAACUUUGUCAUUCAAUGAUACCAUCAUUACGACAUUUAAUUAACUUAGAUUUGCGUAAAUCCCUUAAUCACUAGUCUAGCUUUAUGUCAUUCAAUGGUACCAUCAUUAUGGUAUUUAAUUGAUCUUAUACCCCCAAUUUGUAUACCCCAUGUUUUUCUUAAUUUACCAUACAUCACUUAACAAUGUUCCAUGCAUGGAUUUUGUUAAGUGCCUUAAGUUCCUUUUGCAUAGCCUUUCUCCAAAUUGGAUGAGGAUUGGCUUCAUUAAUGUCAUUAGACUCAUGAUAUAUGGAACUCAAACAAUUGUUAAGUGAUUUUGUAUAUAUAUAAAAAAAAAAUUGUAAUUAAUGUGGUAGGCAUAAAAAUCUCACAAAUGAGGAUUGAUUAAUUGUUAUAAUUGAGCAACAUGCUUGAGGCUUAGUCACAAUACUAGAACUUGAAGUCAGACAUUCUCUUCAAAUAAGGACGUAUAUACAUUAUAUUGGAUCUCCAUUAAACAAGUAAAGAACUAUUUAGUAGACAAUGAAACCUCAUUGAUCAAUGGUGGUAGAGAGACACAUGAUGACCAGACUAUUCCCCUGGAAAUGAGAAUAAAAAAUAUCAUUAGCCGCAAAAAUCUCAAAAAAAUUUAGAUAAUGGGAUAUAAAGAGUUUAUGAAUUUUACAAUCAUAACUCUUAUACUGGUUUAAGUGGUAGAGUAAUCAAGAACACAAAACGAGUUUGAUGAGUGGUUGAGAUAUGAACAAAGCAAAGAUUUCCAAAGACACCAAAAUCAGAAAUCUCAAUUUUUGGGCUAAGGAUUUCAAGAAGAAAUUUAAAAUUAACUACAUGACUAGAAAAUUUGUUCAUCAAGGAAAUAGAAGUAACGAUAUCAUAACAUCAUAAUUAAUCAAUAUUUUUAAUAACAUGCAUUUGGAACAUGAUAUACCGGCUUUCUAAUAAUCAAUGAUUUUUGGUUCAACCACACCAUUUUGUUUUGGGAUGCCAAUACAACAAGUUUAACGAANNNNNNNNNNNNNNNNNNNNNNNNNNNNNNNNNNNNNNNNNNNNNNNNNNNNNNNNNNNNNNNNNNNNNNNNNNNNNNNNNNNNNNNNNNNNNNNNNNNNAUGUAAGUGCCAAAUUAGGUAGUGUCGACAAUGAAAUGGAAAUUUUGGAAUAUAGAAACAACCUCAUUUUUAUGUUCUAAUAAGUAAACCUAUGUAGCAUAAGAAUAGUCAUUAAAAAAAAAGGUAACAAAAUGUUGAUUUCCAUCCUAUGGAUCAAUUAGGACACAACCCCAAGGUAAACUAAUUUGAAAGUUGCAACAAAAAUGGAAAGAGAUGAAAAAAUAAUAGAGGAAUUUAAGGUUGUUUCAAAAUUUCAAGACAUGCUAAGAAACACAUGAGAUUAUAGAUGAUUAGGUAACAACCUUGGUUAAGUAUAUUCAACAUAUAUAUCCCACGAGGAUAAAUAUCUUCACUAAACUUUUCCUAUUAUUCAAUCCCCUAAUACCAUACAAGUGAAAAAUUAAUGUCACGGUCAAAAAUUUUAAUAAGCUUCCAAAGAGAUAAUAAUUUUGGGGAAAAAAACAACCUAAGAAACCUAUGAAUUGAGAUAAUUUAGGAAAAAACUAAAUGUUCGUUAGCUCUAGAAGGGAAUUGAAGCUCAUCAUCAAUAAAGAUUGUUGCUAUCUCGAAUAAUAUCAAGUAAACCAUUAAGAUCGCUAUUAAUGGUAUGAUUAGCAGCACCAAUUAUCGACAAAAAAAUUAUUAAAAAUAUAAGAAAUGAGAGCUUUAAGAUUAUCUAAUUGAUUUGUAAACCUAGGUAAGUGAAUCAGUAUUACGUUUUGUUAAGGAAGCUUAGAUCCAAUUGGUAUCAUUCACCAAGUUAUUGGAUUAAAUUACACUAUCAAACUUUGGCUUUAAAUGAGAAUGAAGAAUCUAACCACAAUCCUUAUUGGGAUUAGAUAUGUUAUUGCAAUAAUGUUUACAAUCGGAUGAGUGCUAAUUUCUAUUGAAAUCAUGAAGCAAUCUCUGAUCAUUGGUCUUCUUUGUAGAAACAUGAGCAUUGAAUUUAAAAUUAAUAAUUGUUACUUGGGAUUCAACCUUCAUAAUCAUUGCCUGGGUUUCCUAAUCACUUUCAAGAAUUACUUAUAUAGUGAAGGCACUCGAAACUAAUCAAAUUUGUCCUCUUAUAAAGUUGUCAUAUUCAAGCUUCAGAAUAGCCAAUAAUUGAAAAACUUAUCAUACUCCGCAAUUUGUUGAAGAAUAUUUGGGUCUAUUGAAGGGGACAAUAUAGGGAAUAUUUGUCCCAUAUGCUCAAAAUGUUCAAUUAACAAAGUGUUCUGUAUGUUUAGGGAUUUGUUAGCUUUAAUUACACAAAACAUUAGCAGUUUUAGAGAAAAUUAAUUUUUUUUUGCAAUCUUAGGUUCCAUGAAAUUAAAAAGCCAAUAACAAGUCAAUAUGGCUUGAGACCCAGUCAUCAUAUUCAAAGUCAUCCAACUUAGAAGCAUUCAUUUUGCCACUAACAUGUGCUAAUUUCCAUUUUCUAUCUUUCAAGAGAAAAAGACUGCUCUUAACCAUGGCAAAUAAUUGAACCCAUUAAGAAGAUUGAGGAAAGUAUCAUAUGAGGGUUGUCAUUUUCCUCCAUGACAAAGAAAAAGCAACAGAGAAAAACUCAUAAUAUUAGAAAGAGAAUGAAAGAAAUUGAGUCAUAGAUACACACAGAAGAAUCCAAAAAUAAAGCAAUAAUACAACCACAAAUAUGAGAAGAAGCUCAAUUACAAAGAAAGGAACUCAAUACAAUCAACUAAAAAGCGUUCCGAAGUUCAUACGAAAAUAUUCAUAAUGUGAAGAUCAUUUCAUGAUUCCUACAAUUUCUUCCUUCUACCAGUCCACUCCAUACAAGGUUUGAUCAACAACUUCUUCAUUGAUUUUCUGGUCUCUCUCCGGUGUAUCAUAGAGCAUUUUUGACAUGUUUCUGCAAGAUACACUUGUUAACUUUAAGCGACAUAAGUGCAAAAAAAUAAGAUCAUGUUGUAUUGCCUGUGCUUCCACUCUGCCUUGUUUAGUACUAUUAUGGAGCAGUACUUCCAUAUAGAACCAGUGAUCUCCAGUUCAUUAUGUUGCCUUCUUUAAACUAACUUUAAUUAUCUAUACAUAUAAAACAAAGUGGUCCCAUCAAGGGGCUAAAUCAAGAAUCAAGUGGGGCGAACAGGAAACAGUGGCAUCAAUUUUUAAGUCCAUAAGCUUUAAUAAAAGGAAUAAAACCAAGGAUAUGAAUAUGUUAUUUUUUCAUUUGUUCAUGCACUGGAAGAUCUUUCCUCUUCAAGCAUUGAACCAGCAUCCUUCUGUGCAAGUUGCUGUCGGAACCUUCUAUAAUUGUCAGAAGUCUGUUUCUGAAAUAUACAGAUAAAACUUUUAGCAAGUCUUGACAUUGCUCAUCACUAGGACAUUGUACUAGGAUACCAAUUCAUCUAAUUAGGGUUAAGUUGGCAUCUCGUACACUAUUUUUUAUUUUUCCUUCAUCUUUUGUUCCCAUUUGCAGUGGAAGUGGCACUUAGAAUAUCUGAUCAUGAAGAAUUAGCUUUCGGUGAGAUGAUACUAGGUCAAUUGCCAUUAUCUUUUUGAGUUACUGUGCGAGCAAUCUUGAAAAUAUUUUGGGAUAAAUAGAAUUUGUGCUUAUCAUAAACAUGCUAAACAUCCAAAUCAAGUGCUUUUACUAUUGAUAUCAAAUCAGUAAUUGAUUUUAACCUUUAUGCUUAUCUUUCAGAUUCUCAAUUAUGUAUCUUGAAUAAUGAUAUUAAGCAGAAAUCAUGAAUUGAAUUGCUUUAAUUAACUGUGCCUUAUCAAGCUUGUCAGCAGUGCUAUUGCUACCGCGAAUCAAAUUCGCUGUGCUUCCCGCCUUCUCCAAAUAAGCCACAAGCCCAAUUAUAUCCGCCCUCCUCCCAUCUCCAAGGGAUCAAAAAAUAAAAUGACUUCAAUCAAUUUUCAAGUUUUCCAUCUUGAUCAGUAGACCACCCGGCAUGAAUGUUACCCUCAGUUUAGGAAUAGGAAUUCCUUUUACUAAUCAUUUGGCACUAAAAACUAUGACCCCUAGCAAUUCAUUCCCUCCAUUAGAUAUCUGGGGGCAUCUUGGCUCAGCCAAAAAUGAUAAGUCAUUGCAUUUCACAUUGCAUUCAUUUGUAUUAAUGAGCUAAUUUUUUUUCACAGAAUGUGAUGUGAAUCGAAUUACUUCCAACCAUGUGUCUCUAUAAGGGUUUAACAAAUGUAAUUUGCAUUGUCUGUACACUUUUUUUUCGGUUUCUUUUCUUUUUUAUGCAUGAUUCAUUAGUCCACGGAUCUUCUAUGCAAAGUGUGCAGGCCAAACACCUCCUUCAAUGCAUUAUUCUAGAAGUUAAGACUCAGUUUACUCCUUAAUUGAUCUGUUCCAUUUACUUCAAAUCAUUUGAUUACAUUAAAUGAAUCUUGAAAUUCAAAAAUGCAUCAAAGUUAAAAGACCUUCCAAUGCAUUAAGAAAUCAUCUGAUACAAAUAUAUGUGAACCUGCAACAACAAUAAUGUCAAAAUGGAAAACUUAGGUAGAAAAUAUUAGAACGGAAACUUACGACGAACUCAAUUUUUGGCGCCUUUCUUCUUCUCAUCUUCUGAUCCAAGAAGCUCUUCCAACACCGUGUCAUCCAAACACUCGAACUCAAUGACUUGCUUUUCUUGCCCAGAAGAGGAACCUCCCAUCUCUAAACUCCUACAAGGCCCAGAAGAUGACGAGGAAGACGAUGAGGAUGGUGAUGGUGGGGGGCGAUGGGAGCCCAUGAUUUCAGAAUAGUACUCAUUAGGAAAGUUAAGAAUGGCAAGAUGACCCCUUAAGUUAAAGGCCGCUCGAUCAUAGGCGCGAGCUGCAUCCUCCGCCCUGUCAAAUGUGCCUAGCCAUAGACGAGCACCUUGCCUAGACGGAUCCCUAAUCUCGGCUGCAAACUUCCCCCAUGGCCUCCUCCUCACCCCUCGGUAUCGAACUUCUUCCUUUUCCUUCCCUUCCUGCUCCUGCUUCUCAUUCCCUUUCGAAUGAUCUUCCAUGCUAAACGUGUCGAUUUGCUAGGCGCAAUUUUUUUGGUUUCAAAUGUGCUGGUUUACGAGAGGCAUGGAUGCUUAUGUAUAUAUAUGGUUGCCACAGUCAGGUCUGACGUCACCGCUCAAUGUAUGUUCCACAGCGUGGGUUGACGAGCUUUCUGAGGGGGUUUCCUCGAAUUCAAAGCAAGUAUAAAAAUUCGAUUCUCCGACCUUUCCAAUGAGGAUCGAACAGGCCUUUUAUUAGAACCGUAUGAUAACUCCACACUGUUUUCAAAUAGUCAAUGUGAUCUAGAUUCUUCGUUAAUUUUUUCCACCUGACUGAUUGUUUACAAUUUUAUUUUUCACCGUCCCAAAUUUAAACCAUUUACGCGAUUCCCUGGAUUGCAUUUUUCUUUAAUGUUGACUUUACGAGGCAAUAGGACCCCCCAGCAACCCCACUAGGGCGACUUCAUGGGAACCAGAUUACUUUUGGAUCCAGAUAUGGUCCAGAAGAAAUAAGACAAAUCAAUUAAUGUCCACUAAAGUUUUGAUGGAACCCUUAGUCCGUGUUUCCUGUGGAUGUAUGUAUUGUAUGCACCUCAAUUUUCACCAAUCCCUGCUACGAGUCCCUUUAAUUUUGACGUUAUAAAUGUUUUUCCUGACAUUAGCAGAGUGUUUUUCUGCCGUCUUUGAGGACCUUCCACGGCCCAUAAACUAAUAAGGAUCGUCCAGUGAAUUUAGUCUUCCCCAGUUAAUUAUCCUGCGAGGGAAACUUGGGCAGUAAGUUGCCUACAUGAGUGGCUCCCGCCUACAUGAGUCAAGGGACCAUACGUCAGGACGACAACCAGUGUGGUCACACCAAAGUGGGUUGCCUGGACUCCAGGGUGGUCGCUUCAAAGUUGUCAAAUGAAGGCUAGCUUGGCAAGUUUUGGAAAACAAUUAUUGAAAAACAUUUUUCAUGAAUAACAGUUUCUAUGAACAGAUUUUAAGAAAGUUUAUUUUGUGAUUUUUAGGAAUAUUUUUAAUUUAAAUUUUUAUAUUUUUAAUUUUUUAUUAAUUUAUUGAUUAUUUAAUAUUAGCUUAAUUAAUGGAUUUUUCUUGGUCCCAAAUUAUUAAUUUAUCAAGAUUUAAUCGCAUCCAUAAUUAGUCUAAUUUCUUUUGGAGUGAGUGUGACAAAGUGCAAAUUUCUAGAGUUUUAUUAAUGUUAUUCAAUGUCAUAAUUUAACUAAUUAUAUUAAUUAUUUAUUAAUCAAAAUAAAUCAUUCACUUGAAAUAUGAUAAUUUAAAUUAAAAGUUUCAAUUAUUUAUUAAUUAGCAAAGUAUGAACUUUUCUUCUUGUUUUAUUAUUGUUAUUCCAUGUAUAUAAUUUAAUUAACUGUUUCCAAUAUUAAUCAAUAAAAAUAGAAUAUAAGCAUGAGAAGAAUUAGUAAAAUUCAUUGAUUUGGAAUUAGAUAGCUAGAGGAAGAACUUCAUCAUCUUCCCAUUACUUAAAUUUGUAUAAAUUCUAAAUAUUUAAACCCCCCCCCCCCCCCCCCCCCCCAAAAAAAAAAAAAAUGGUAAAGAAAGACUCCCCAAGCUUUCUUGGUUGGUGUUACCCUAAAAUUUGUACAAUAAGAUGAACCAUUUGGCUUAAAGCUUGGUGCGAAACCCCUUAUCAAUUGAAAAUAUCAAUGAAGUUGUUGAAUGGUUUUAGAGGACUAUUCUUAUGCAGAGUGGCAUAAGAAGCGAGGAGAUGAAGAGCGGAGAGACGUUAACAUCGGAUGCUGCUACGAAGGUGGGAAUACGGUUAAUUAAUUAGAUUUUGUGAUGGCUUUGAGUUUGAAGGAGUUAGUUUAAUGGGUAUUAUUAGUGAACUGAUAAUUGGAUUUGAUGUAAAGAAGGUUGGUCCAUUGGAUUAGCAAUUGGUUUGGCCUUUUGGGGGCCCCAUUUCCAAAUGCAUUGCCUUUUACAAGCAUUCAACAUCGCUGGACGUAACCAGGCUUGGUUCACCUAAAAGUAUCGCAUGGAUUGAAUUGACUAAGUUUUCAUUGUAGACUAGCCUUGAUUUUCCCUUGACCUGCCCACCAAAUCCUGAUGCCCACGCGAGGGAAUACCUCAAUUUUCUAAUAAUUUAUGCAGUUUCUCUUCAAAGCUCGUGUGAUCACUUGGGUCGGUAAAAUAAUGCAUUCCUCUACUUUUUCUCCCUUCCUAGAUGCAUGUUAUACCAUUAAUUCAAAUGUGAACAUGGGCUUGGCUUUGAAACUUGGUUCAAGGCCCAACAUGUUGACCCACAAUUGAGGUGUAAUUGAAUUUGUACACUUUUCGACUUUGAUACCAUUUGUCAUUACCAUUGACAUUGGGUCAUUGUUGAUUUUGAGUCCACAACUUUUAAGGUUGUUAUUACAAUUUUAAAUUGCGCCCACCCAAUUUAUAUGCAUUAUCCCUUAUAAAUACCGAUAACCUCUCUUUCUUCGAUAAUAUAAAAUGUCACAUAUAUUAUAUAUCUCAAUGUUUUCUUUUACUUUUUUUUUUUUUAUCGAUCGACAUUCUCUCUCAGAUGAUAUGAGAUGUCACAUAUAUUAUAUGUUUCAAUGUUUCUUUUACUUUUUCUCUUUUUCCUCAUGAUUGACAUUGUCUUUCUCAAAUGAUAUGAGUUGUCACAUAUAUUUUAUGUCUCAAUGUUUUCUUUAACUUUUUUUCUCUCUUCUUUAAUGAUCGACGUUCCUUUUCUCAGAUGAUAUGAAAUGUCAUAUAUAUUAUAUGGCUUAAUGUUUUCUUUUACUUAUUCUUUCUUUAUUAAUAAUCGACAUUUUAAGCAAUAUGUGAAUAUAAAGCAUUAAAAUUAUCUCCAUCGUUUUUGGAUGUGGUAUAAAUACACAAUUCUUAUUUUUGUUUUAAAUAUUUCUAUUGCUAUCUAUUGAAAUUUUAUGCAUGAAGCUACCAAGUUAAUUAUACAUAUAUCUUAAGAUUUUUUUUUUUUUUUUUUAUAGGAUAUAUUGUCCAUGAAUAUUUUCUGCAAUGGUAUCUUGUUUGAUUACUAUAAGAAAUAAUAUAUAUAUAUAUAUAUAUAUAUAUAUAUAUAUAUAUAUAUAUAUAUAUAUAUAUUAUAUUUCAAUGUUUCAUAUUUGCUUAAAAUAAAAAUUAUAUUUUAUCACAAUAUUUGGUAUUAAAAAAAAUGAAAUCUCUCUCAUUUAUUAUUACAAAAAAAUUAUAAUUUAUAAUUUUCUAAAUAAGUUUUAUUUAUUUGCUAACUAUAUUCAUGAUUAAAAGAUUUAAAAUUUAUAAAUAAAAAAUAUUAUGUCAUGUCAUUAAAUAAAUAAAAAUAUAUGUAUAUAUUAAAAUUAUGUUUUAUUGUAGCUUUUAAUAUUUUUUUUUUUAUUCUUUUCUUUUUUGAACUACAAUUUUAAUUUUUUUUAAUCAAAAUUUUUUAAUUUACAAAACGAGUAACAUAAAACUUGCCUUUGAACUUUAUUGGAAUGUUAUAUACUACCAUUUGGCUUUCAAGACAUUAGAAAAGGCAUAAGUGUCCCUUUUAUUUUUCCGAAAGGCAUAUUAGACUAUAGUAGGAAGUGUUGUAUAGAGGCAACUAAAAGUUGCCUUUAACUUUAUGAAGUCAUAUACUCCUCUUUGGCUUUGAUGACAUCAACUAGCAAAUUGGAUUUUGUUUCCUUUGCAACAUUUUUCCAUCCAUUAGCCAGUUUUUUUAUACUGUUUGGUGCUUGCCAACAUGGCACACACUAUGGUUCUUAAAAAGUAUUUUUUUUUUUAAGAUACUACGAAAUAAAAUACACGAUUGAAAGAUGAGUCACAAUAAUUUUCAAAACUAAAUUUUUUAAUAUUGUUAAGAAAAUUUGACCACCAAAUGAUUGAUUUUAAAUUACAAAUACUUUUGUUAGCUAAGAAAUUUGUUGUUCUAUUUGUUUCCCUAUAAAUAUGACAACAAUCAUAAAUAUUUUCAUUUUAAGAUAAUUUUCAAAUAUCUUCCAUUAAUAAUAUAAUAGAAUUAGGAAUUUUUUUUUUAGUUAUAACAAUCUAUAAUUAUUUAAGAGUCUUCCUCAAUCUCUAGGUUUAAGAACUUAUUGUUCUUAACAACUAACAUGUCAUCUCUUAAAAUAAUACAUUCUGCAAUAAUUAUUGAAAUAUGAUAUAAUAUAUAUAUCUACUUACAACCAUUUUUGUAGUACCAUUAGAAUUUUUAAUUACCCAUUCUAAAGUAUUUUUAUUCUCUAUUCUUAAACCAUCAAAAUUUAAUUUAAAUCUUUCAUUAAUUGGAUAAAUCCAAUGAAUCUAACAAGUUAAAGGAUUAUGAAUCCGACAAAACAGUUGAUAAUAAAUUAAUAAUGCCAUUAAUAUGAUUUUAAUGUGAAACACAAUUAUCACAUUUAAUACAGUUAGUCCUUGUAUGAUUAAUGUUUUGGAAGCUAAAAUCAAUCUUUUGACUAUAAUAAGAGUUUCUACUAUUUCUAUUUUUGGAUGAUUUUAUAUUUUUCUUAUUGUUUUAGUUUAAUACAAAAAAUAAAAAUAAAAUUACAUUAGUAGAAUUUUUUUAACUUACUCAAAAACCUAUUUUAGUUGAAUGAUUUUUUUAAAAAAAAUAUAAAUAUUUUGUUAAAAGGGAUAAAAUAACCUUACCUUGUGAAAAAGACCUCUUCACCCAAGAUUACUUGUUCAUAAUCCUUUUAAGACGAAAAUGCCCCCUUCCUAAAAAAUAUUUCAUCUUAAACUUAUUUUUCUUUUUAUUGCCCUUUGUUCCAUCCUUCCGGCUUGGGAGAGAAAUUCAUUCUUCUUUUGCGAAGAAAAAUUCCUAUUGCGAUUUUUCAUUUCAAGUGGAAAAAAAAAUUCUUAUUUCAUUUUAAAGAAAUUGUACAUUUUCAAUCUUUCUCUUUGUUCCUAGUUGAGGGUUUUUUUUGUAAUUUUAUCUUAACACUACAAAUUUAAAGGUGAGAUUAAAUCUUAAUGGUUAUUAGUUAAAUCACAUAUCUAACUUUGUUUUUGUCAGGACCUAUAAUAUGAUUGGAACCACCAUCCAAACUUCAUUAGGUGGGAUACUCCCCACCCUCCCCCUCCCCCCGCGAAAUCCUUGGAUUUUAGUUUUGACUUGGAUUUCAAUUGCCCGUAUCAAUUUUUCUUUAUUUAUUAAUUUAUUAAUUUUCAACUUUAACAAAAGCCUUGAAUCAUAUUUAAAUUCAAAUAACUUAAUCCUAAUUAAGUUCUUUUUAAAUAAAAAUUAAUCAUUGAAAAGUUCAUGUGACUAUUAUAAUUGAGAAUUUAUCCCAAGUUGGGUUUUUUGCAAAUAAAAUUUUAUUAUAGGACAUCAUGAUGCAACAUAACAUAAGGUUGUUACUUAAGUUUGUUUUGACCUUGUAAUAUGUUAAAAUGAAAAUGAAGCCAUUGUAACAGGAGAGAAUGAUGAAGCUGUGGAGAGAGCUUAACAAAGCUUGGGUUGGAGAGACUUCACAGGAAGAGAGAGAGAGAAAUAAAGGGUAAAAUUAUCAAAAGAGAAAAGAAAAAAAAAAAAAAAAAAGAAGGUUAUGUCUUCAAAUAAUCAAUAAGAGAUGUCAUUUUUCUAAUUUUCAAAGUUCUUUUGGUCCUUCUCUACAAAUAUCCCUAUAAAAAUAUUAUAAUAUCAAGUUAAUUUGUCAAUACCAAAAUUUAUAUUUUAUAUUAGGGCGACUAAAUAACAUAUAGAAAGAAUUUUAAAUGAGUAAAUCAAAUCAAUUUUGAAACCAAAACUUAAUAAUUACCAAACUUGUAAUCUUAGUCAUUAAAAGUGUACGAUGAAAUCUAAAUUAUUAAGCAAUGAAACAAAAAAUUAAGAUUAAAAUACAAAACGUUAAAAUCAAGAUACAAACUAUUAAAAUGUAAGUGGGAUAUGAGAUGAUAUUAUAAAAAAUAGUGUGAUCCAACAAAAAGUCUAGUACAUCAUUAUCUUCACUUCCAACCAUGUUUAAAAGGUCACAAGUUCUAGCGGUUUCCAAGGACAAUGUUAAAAAUAAUAAAAAUAAAUCCAAUUAAAUAUUAAUUAAUUUAUUUGAAUUUGAGUCCGACAAAAUAGUUGGUAAUAAGUUAAUAAUGCCAUUAAUAUGAUUUUAAUGUGAAACACAAUUAUCACAUUUAAUACCCGUUAGUCCUUGUAUGAUUAACUUUUUAGAAAUUAAUAUCAAUCUUUUGAUUAUAAUAAGAGUUUCUACUAUUUAUAUUUUUGGAUGAUUUUAUAUUUUUCUUAUUGUUUUAGUUUAAUACAAAAAAAUAAAAAUAAAAUUACAUUAGUAGAAUUUUUUUUAACUUAUUCAAAAAACCUAUUGUAAGGUGAAUGGUUUUUUUAUUUUUUUUUUAAAUAUAAAUAUUUUCUUAAAAGGGAUAAAAUAACCUUACCUUGUGAAAAAAGGCCUCUUCACCCAAAUUUACUUGUGCAUAAUCCUUUUCAGACGAAAAUGCCCCCUUCCUAAAAAAUAUUUCAUCUUAAACUUAUUUUUCAUUUUUAUAACCCUUUGUUCCAUCCUUAUGAUUUGGGAGAGGAAGUCAUUCUUCUCUUGUGAAGAAAAAAUUCCUACUGCCAUUUUUCAUUUCAAGUGAAGAAAAAUAUUUAUAUUUCAUUUUAAACAAAUUGUACAUUUUCAAUCUCUCUUUGUUCCUAGUUGAGGUUUUUUUUUUUUUUUUUUUUUUUUGUAAUUUUAUCUUAAUUGUACAAAUUCGAAGAUGAGAUUAAAUCUAUAAUGGUUAUUGGUUAAAUCACUUAUCUAACUUUGUUCUUGACAGAUCGUAUAAUAUGAUUGGAACCACCAUCCUAACUUUAUUAGGUGGGAUCCCUUUUUUUUUUUCCCCAAACCCUUGGAUUUUAGUUUUGACUUAUAUUUCAAUUGUCUGUAUCACUUUUUCUUUAUUUAUUAAUUUUCAACAAGUUCUUUAACAAAAGCCUUGAAUCAUAUUUAAAUUCAAAUAACUUAAUCCCCAUUAAGUUCUUUUUAAAUGAAACUUAAUCAUGUGAAAGUUCAUGUGACUAUUAUAAUUGAGAAUUUAUUCUUAGUUGGGUUUUUUGUAAAUAAAAUUUAGUUAUAGGACUGUGAUGAUCCGUUCUCAACCGUAUAAAUAUUGUUCGUUUUGAAUUCAAAAUAACUUUUACGGCUUUAAAACAUGUUUACAAGAUUAAGAGGAGUCCAUAUUUAUAUAGCUUCACGAACUUUCCCCCCUAUUCGAUGUGGGAUGUCACAAGGACAUCAUGAUGCAACGUAUAACAUAAGAUUGUUUCUUAAGUUUGUCUAACCUUGUAAUGUGUUAAAAUGAAGAUGAAGCCAUUAUAACAGAAGAGAAUGAUGAAGUUGUAGAGAGAGCUUAACAAAGCUUGGGUUGGAGAGACUUCAUAGGAAGAGAGAGAGAGAGAGAGAGAGAAAUAAAGGGUAAAAUUAUCAAAAAAGAAAAAAGAAAAAAAAGAGGGUGAUGUCUCCAAAUAAUCAAUAAGAGAUGUCAUUUUUCUAAUUUCAAAGUUCUUCUGGCCCUUCUCUACAAAUAUCCCUAUAAAAACAUUAUAAUAUCAAGUUAAUUUGUUGAUACCAAAAUUUAUAUAUUAUAUUAGGAUGACUAAAUAACAUAUAGAAAGAAUUUUAAAUGAGUAAAUCAAAUCAAUUUUGAAAUCAAAACUUAAUACCUACCAAACUUGUAAUCUUAGUCAUUUAAAGUGUUCCAUGAAAUCUAAAUUAUUAAGCAGUGAAACAAAAAAUAUAAGAUUAAAAUACAAAACGUUGAAAUCAAGAUUCAAACUAUUAAAACGUAAGUGGAGACGUAAGAUGAUGUCAUAAAAAAUAGUGGGAUCCAACAAAAAGUCUAUUAAUCAUUAUCUUCACUUCCAAUCAUGUUUAAAAGGUCACAAGUUCUAGCGGCUUUCAAGGACGAUGUUAAAAAUAAUAAAAAUAAAUCCAAUUAAAUAUUAAUUAAUUUAUUUGAACAAUAGAUAGGACCAAAAUAAUAUUCUAAAAGGAAUCAUAGGGAAGUCCUUGGACAACCUACGACAUUGAACAAAGGUACAGUGAGACAAUGCACUUAGCCCUUCCUUGUCAUUGCGAUGAAUAUAAAAAGACACCCUGAUUGAGGGUGCCCCACUAAGCCAAGAGUGAUUCUUUUGUAUUGUAUAACGUGAAUAUUUUUGAACUUUGAAUGACCCUUCCUAUAGUCAUCAUUGUCAAAACUAGAAAAUCAGAAAGAUGCGAUGUACGAAGGCACCAUUGAAUAAGAGGCUUAAUUCUCUUUGGCAAUUAGGAUAAAGUUUCAAAAUAGAAAAAUUAAACAAAUGUACAGUGUACGGACACUUGGGCAUUGCCUAUUUGUUUUGUUCUUCUAGAGUUGUAUAUGGUAAAGGUCAUAUUGGGUUGGUUCUAUUUGGUUAUUGAAGUCGGCUAGAAUAUUAGAUUUGGUUUCAAUCUAAUCCCAUAUGAUAUUAGAAUACCAGCCCAUACAGAAUUUUUGACCAAAUAUAAUAUUUCUUUUAAAUAUAAAUAUAGUAAUUAAUUUUAGUCUAAGAUUAAUUAUGUAGUUUCCUAAAGAGACCACUUCCUAAACGGUAGCUAUGUGGAAGUUGGGCCAGGUCCUGCCGAGAAGGUUUCCACGAGCUGAGCCCAAAACUGAGUAGCUGUGAUGGGAUCAUUCUAGCAUUCAGCCUGAAACUUGUAACAUAACGGAUCGAGAGGCCUGAACUCCAAGACCAUGGUUCGUCAGCCCAUUAACUUCAACAGCACGCAUUUUAGAGGACUGGGCUUGCAAGGGGUGAGGUUUCCGGGCCGCGACCCCAAAUAUGAACAGCCUCAGAAGUGAUAUUGCUUACUGGCACGUGAAGAGCGCAAGCGUAACUAGAAGAUUUGUAAUGCCGCUUUAAUUGUUUGAUUAUAGAAUCCCACGCAUUACGCAUGGAAAGUGUAAAAGAUAAAAGAUGUAGAAUUUUUUCUUAGAGAAAAGUUCGUUUGGAUAUAGUUAUUGUUUUUUUUUUAAAUAAUAAUUGUUUUUUUUAUAAAUUAUAGAUAAUCUUAGAAAUUUAUCUUUAAAAAAAUAGUUUUUAAAAAUAUUUAAGGAGAAUAAAAGUGAUAAAAAAAAACUUUACAAUUUCAAAUUUUUAAAAAAUGAAAAUUAUUUUUAAGAAUAUAAGUUAAUCUCCUGCAUUUAAAUCUUAGGUGGUUUUUGUUUUUUUUACUUUUCGCUGAAAACAAUUUGUUUUCAAAAUUUAGGUCAUUUGUUUUUUCUAUUUUUUCAUGAUUUAUUAUAAAUUUUUUACUAAAUAAAAAAAAUCAAAAUAUGUAACUUUUUCUAAAUAAAAAAAAUAACGUAUUGAUUUUUCUUUACUUUUUAAUACUUAAUAGAUAUAAAAUACUACAAAAACAAAAAAUCUAAUAUUUAACACUAUUAAGCAUUAAAGUUCUAUUUAGAAUUAAGUAAAAAAACAAACACCACCUUAUAUUUUAUAUAAAAGUUACUUAUAUUUUGGUUUUUGGAAAUAAAAAAUAUAAAGCAUAUCCAAACAUGAGCUUAGCUAUUUUAAAUCAUAUCAAAAUAAUAAUCCCAAUAAGGUAAAUGGACUUUUAUACGGAGAAUAAUCUUUAAGGUUUUCAUUUUUAUUGGAUUUUUUUUUUGUGGUGUUUUUUCAAUCCAUCUUCUCAAUUAAUUCCUUAAAAUUAUUUUACUGUUUUUUUUUUUUUCAGUUUCUAAAUAUUUGAUUUUUCCAAAAUGCUUAAAUGGAAGACACUAAUUUUUCAAGAUAUUUGGUAUUACAAUUUUCCCUGUUCUCCCUAUUAUCUAUCAGAUUCAUGGCCCUUUUGUUUUUUCAUUGGUUUUCAAUUUAAUUUUCCAAAUAUUACAUUGUUGUGUUUUGAAUUUGUGAAACCAAUUUUAUAUAUAUAUAUAGUAUGUAAGUCUACUUUGGGUAACAUGUACAGAGAGGUUUUCAUGUGUUUGAAACCUUUUACCUCAAAAAUUAAUUAUUUUUAAUUUUAUAAUAAAUCUUUUUUUAUUUUUUAUUUUAUUUAGGAAAGCCUAUAUUUAAACUACAUGUUUGCAACGCAACACCAUACAUACUCCUAGUGGAACUUACCUUAGUGCUUGAGGGGGAUGCAGAUCUUCUUCUAAACCUAACUAAUAAGCAUAAAAUUGUUCACUAAUUAGCAUAUCUAGUAAAUCAUACAAAUUGGCAAUAUUUCAUGUUUUUCAUGUUUUGUCAAUAAAAGGCGUCUUGACCAUUUUGUGAGUUUUGUAAUAAAUAAAAAAAAAAAAAAAAAAAGGGCAAAAGGUGACUAAAAUGAGGCACUUUGGAAAGGUUAAUAACCUAAAAGGAAGAUGAAUUAAUACCCCCUUAUUCCUCUUCAAAAACCAUUGAGAAAAUGCAAGAAAUGCUCUUAGUUGUAUGCUAGGCUAACAGCCUAGCAACCAUAAUACCCUUCUUUGCAAUUGUAAGCAUUUUUUUUUUUUUUUUGAAGGCCAAACAACGUUGCAAACUUCCCAAAUCCCUUCUUUAUUUUUUAUUUUUUUAUUUUUGUUUUUAGAAGGAGAAUGAAUUUGAUGACAAACUCCUUGUCAAUCUUAUCCAAACCACGAUCGAACAGAACUCCUUGUCAAUCUUAUCCAAACCGUGUUCCACCUCAAAAACAUGUGUAGGACUUAAGGCAGCAACUGGCAAGCAUGACUGAUAGGGCCAAGUGCCCUUGUCUCUACAAUCCAUUAAGUUAACCAAGGGCAGUGAACCAUCAUUCUUUUCAAAAGCUUCAUUCCGUGUUGAAAAUGUGAGACUGAAGCAUGGUGCCCCCAAAAAUAACGAUCUAUUUACUAGCAGCAUGCCUGGACCCAUUAAAAAUACUCUACUUUAGGAAUAGAAAAAAUUACAUCUUUAUCCAAUAAUUUUAUAACAAUUCAGACGUUUCAGUCUAUAAAUAAUUGUACAUAGUUGCCAACGUUUAGCUAGUUUCAAAUGAAUAGCCUAGGUUCAUGCACCAGUUUGGCUGGUGGAGGAAAGGGAUUCGAGACAUUGAACCCUCUUUUUAGUGUGCCAAAUAUUCCACAAAAAUCACUACCUUCUCUUUGUGUUUGUUCACUUUUAGUUUAUAUUUAAUAAAUCUAUGUUUUCGAGUAGAGGUUGGGUUCAGGUGCGACCCACGUCACCUCUCGGACGGUCUUGAAAAAGGAGACCGGACCACGUAAUUUCAAAUGUAGUGACCAUCUCACUUUUACCUCCAUCCUUGAAGAUGGUUUCCCAAAUCAAUAUUAAUCUUUUGUUUACGACAAUAUCGAUCACUUUAUGUCUAUAUCGUUGUUAAUUUACCUUUUUUUUUUAGCCACAUUAUUUGAAAAUUGAUGCAAACUUUACCAACAUCUUGGUACCAUUUUAAAAUAUUAGAGUUAUUUGAUUAAAAAAAUAAAAUAAUCUCGAUAACUUGUUUAUAAAAUAAAUAUCUUUUAACAUUUAGACUAUUCUCACGCAUGCUUUAAAAUUGUAAAGAUAUUCAUAAAGUGGAACUUUAGACUUAAUCAAUAUCGAUCACUUUAUGUCUCUAUUGUUGUUAUAUUUUUUUUUUACAACAUUAUUUGAAAAUUGAUGCAAACUUUACCAACAUCCUAAUACCAUUUUAAAAUAUUAGAGUUAUUUGAUUAAAAAAAUAAAAUAAUCCCGACAACUUGUUUAUAAAAUAAAUAUCUUUUAAUAUUUAGACUAUUUUCACCAUGCUUUAAAAUCAUAAAGAUAUUUAUAUUCAUAAAGUGGAACUUUAGACUUAAACAUGAUAAUAGUUUUUUUACAAUAUUAUAAUUAUUUUAUCGUUUUAAUUAAGCCCUUUAUCAUACAUAUAAAUGUAAAUUAAUGCUAAAUUUUUAAAGCAACGUAUAACCUUUUACAUCUUUUUUUAAGAUGGUGCGAAAAUCCUAUGAAAAAUAAUAAAAGUCGAUGCAUAAGAAGAUUGUUUUGAUAAUUCAAUAGAAAAAUUCUUUUAAAAUGAUAUUAAAAAAUACCCAUAGAGCCUUUAUUAAAAAAAUCAAUUAUUUUCAUAAUAAAAAUUAUAAUUUUUUAUUAUGUAUUAUUAUUUUUAAGUAUCUUUAUUACAAAUACUUUUUUUGAGUUUAUGAGAGGAAUCAACAGGUUGGUACAAGCUUAGGCGUCCUCGUACAUGUUCCCGCUGUGCAAGGUUUUUGUCUUGUUUCGAGCUAGUCGGAAUUUACGUGUUUGAUAACGUUUUGUCCUAUUUUUGUAACGCUUUAAAGGGCGGCCCACCGUUGGAACAGUUCAAGCCAUCCAAAUCAGCCCGGAGGGUUAUGGCGACGUGGCAUGACGCCUACCACCUUAGUUCACAUGAACCCUAUGAUCGUACUACCCUCACAUGACAUCUGUGAUUCUUCACCUCCAAACCCUCUUUAACUUGGUAAUGUAUUCAAAGCUUCAUCAAAUCAUAGCGAUUAGCGACCCUCUUCCACCCUAAUUUUAUAAUAAAAAAUAAAUCUUAGUGGACAUUAAAGUAGUAUUUUGUGGGGGGAAAGAAAAACUCUAUGGGCGUAUCCACUAAAUACGAGCCAAGUAUAAGAGUUAUCACCAUGGAAUCAAAUUAUGAAGCAUUGACAUUUUAAUUGUAUUCAGAUUUGAGGAGGGCACCGCGGCACCAGCUGGCCCAGUGUAGUCUGCUAGCCUACCCGCCAUAAUGACCAAAUUAAUAAAGUAAAAAGGAUUACAGGGAUAUUCCCAACUUUAUUCUGGGUCUGAGCUGGAACUUGGGAGUUAUCACGAUCAACGGGAAAGAUGGUGGGUAGGGGACGAGGAUUGAGGGCUCCAUAUUCACAUCAGUGAAAAACGAAAUGUAUUGAGACAAGUCUUCUAAGGAUUUUCUAGCGUAUUAUAUGGUUUAAAUGAUUAUAAAUCUGUAGUUACUGGUAAAGAGUAGAGAGUGAAGACGAAAGACGUUGAGUGAAAAGGAAGGAGGAGAGGGGAUGGGGCCAUCUUACCGUGUCGGGGAGGAUCCAUAAAAGGACUACGUUCCCUGAAUCUGUAGGCAUCAUGCCUCGCCUAACGGGUUAGUCAAAAUACAGUGAUGUGUGUGAGUUGGGGGCCUCACUCCUCAUUUCUUUCCUUCUUUUCACCCCCACCCCCACUUUUUUUUUUUUUUUUUCGAAUUUUUCUUUGUCCUUUUCUCUCACUUGCGCACGCGGGAGAAGGACCACAAACUAGACAAUUCCUCUGCUCACGUGACCCCGAGUUUUUAAAUAUUUGCCUAUUUGGAAAAUAGUCAUGAAUCAUGAUCGUUAACAAACAAUCUUCACUUUAUUUAUUUAAGAUCUAUUUUUUGGAGCUCUAGUUUAGUUUAUUAUUAUUAUUAUUAUUAUUAUUAUUAUUAUUAUUAUUAUUUAGUAACUCCUCUUAUAUUAAUGAAAAAGAGAGGAGGAAUCCAAACUUGUUUAUUCUUCCUCUUUUAAGGUGUUUGUUUUUUUUAUUUUAUUUUUAUGCUUCAUAUGUCUUCAAUUUCUUAGCAUUUGUCUUAUAUUUCUUCUUAUCCGAUUCAUUAUUGCAUCCUUGGUCAAUCUUUCACGAGGAGUGCCUACUUUUUUCCUUUUUAUUAUUUAAUUCACUUUAUCUUUAUAUUUUCCUUUUACACUUUAUUUCCAAUUCAAAACGUGUCAAAAAAAAAAAUUGGUAACAAAAAAAAAAAAAAAAAUCAAUUGUAAUGAUUCUUAUAUAAUUUUAUUUAAUUUUUAUUAAACAAUAAAGAAAUUAAAAAUAUAUAAAUUUUUAAAUAAUUAUUAUAGUCUUUCAUUUUUGUGUAUAAUUUCUUUUGCAAGAAAUAGUGUAGGCUUUCCACGGUCUAAAGGAAAUGGAAUAUCAAAUGAGAAGGUAAUAAUAAUAAAGUGAGUUAUAGAUACUAAUCAAACUAAUCCACUAAUGAAUUAUUUAUUUUUAUUUCACAUGGACAAAUCCUAAAAGUUGGAGUUCUAAUUUACUUUUAUGUUAAGCUUUUUUAAGUAAAAAUCUUUUAUUAUUAUAAUUUAUAGACAAAAAGAAACCCAUUAAUGUGAUGGAUAAAAAAUUUCAAUUUAAAAAAAAAAAAAUUAAAGUUGCUAAAUUUUUGUAUUUAUUAUUUCAAACUCAUUUAAAUAAUUUAAAAAUAUGUCUUCAAUUAAUUUUAAUGAAACAAAGCAUGAUUUUUUUUUAAUUUUUUUUUCUUUACCAAAUAAAGCAUUAUUAUAAUACGUUGAUUAAAUUUUCAUCAUGUCUCUCAAGAUUUGGAUUAAAUAUACUUAGUUGUCAUAAAUUUGAAAUUUUAUUUAAUGUAUUUUUUAUUUUAAAUUAAAAAGAUGAAUGCAAAUAAAAAAAAUAUGUAUAUUUUAUAAAAUUUUAAAUUAAACGAAGGAUACGUGUAUUUAACCAAGGUGAAUGAAAUUAAUCCAAAUACUUUUUGGUAACUUGCAAAAUAUCUUGACGAAAUCAUUAUGGCAGGCAUCGUACAAGCUCAACCCUUGUCGCCUUGCUAGAAAUAGAGAAACAAAAAGACCCCCAAAUUGGGUUGCAUCCUAAAUAUGAAGAAGUGGUAACAAAGGAAGAAAAAAUGCUGUGUUAUUGAAUAGUUAAUACAUUGAACAUGAUAUGUUACAUAGAGAGCCAGAUUAAUCCUAGUGGAAUUCCACUGUCACGAUGGUAACCUAGGGUUAUGUUUGGUUAUUGAAAAUACCAAGAAAAGAAAAAAAAAUAUAAAGGAAAAUAAUUUUUUCAUUUUUGAUUGUCUUAUAAAAGAUAUAAAAAAAAAACAAAUAUAAUUAAAACUAAUUAAAAAUUUAGGUAUUUUUAAAUUAUUUAAUUUUUAUAUUAAUGAGCGAAAAUAAAUAAAAUAAGUUUAAAAUAACAAAAAAAAUAAUUUACCGAUUUUUAAUCUAUAUUUUAUUUUACUUUUUCUUUGUAUUUUUUUUUUCUUAUAUUUUCCCUCAAAUUUUCUGAAUCAAACAUAGCAAAAAAGGAGCUACCCCUUUCGAAAGAAACUCCCAAGAAUUUCAAAGAAACCUGCUGAGAUAAUGAAUGAGGGAUCACUGUCGGUAAACAGUAUCCAUUCUUUUGGGAGGACUUUCAAACUGAGAAGUUGUUUUCAUGACUUGGAAACAAAAUUUUGAGCUCUAAGGGGGUCUGUAUUUGGGCCCUAAAAUUCAAUCCAUCAAUCUGAAAAAUGCUUAGGAUAAUGAUUUGAUUUAGCCACAAUCACUAAACAAAUUCCAGAGGAAAAUUUCGCUACUCAUAGGUGGCUGAUUCUCAUAAAAAGACAUCGUGGUAGGGUGUCUCAAGUGCAGGCUCACCAUCAACUUGCUGCCCUUUUUAGAUUAUUGUAAAAUGAUUUCACAUGAAGCCCAAUGCAAAACUUUGAAAGAAAAGGUUGGUGGAGACGUGAAGAAUAUGUAACCCAUAGGCCAUAACUAGUACCGAAGAUUAUUGAACAAACAUUCAAGGUUUUUGUAUAGACGAAACUGAAAAGAAUGUGUACCAGACUCAGGCGUUCAGAUCAGAUGAUGCCGUAAUGUGGAUUGUGGAGGAGCAUUGUGCAGACAGAUAAUGAGAUUCUGAAAGCGAGGCCACUGAUGGGCCCUUGGAAGGGGGGCGUGCCUUCAAAAUUAUAUAUAUAUAUAUAUAUAUGUCAUUGAAAAUUGGAAGCAACUUUUCUUCUUAAGUUAUUUUAAUCGAAGAAGAAACAAAAAGUUAAAAACAUACAUUAUUCUUCCUUCUUACGAGGUUUCCGGGUCUAAAUUACUAUGGUCUCUGCAACUGGCGUCGUUUUCUCUCCCCUCUCUCUAUUUUCCCUUUAUUUUUUCACUUUUAGAAAGAAGCAUCCCAUCAAGAAUCUACUACAACCCUACGCUUCCAUUUUGAUUUAGAAAGUUAAAAAUAAGUUUAAGUUAAAAAAAAAUAUUUUCUUAUAUAAUUAUUUAAACUUAUUUCUUUUCCUUUUUAUAUAAAGAAACAAAUAUUUUGCAAAUAAAUAAAUUUCUAAUUAUUUUCAUUAACAUAAUAAUAAUAUUUUUCAUAUGACUUUAAUCACAAUUUUUUUUACCACUUGUCCAAGGCGGUGAGAGGUGAUAAAAUGUAUUAAAAAAACGAUUAAAUUGCAUUAGGUAUAGAAGUUUUGUGCUUCAAUUAUCACUUAUAAAAAUAAAAUAAAAAUAGUCAAAUUUGAGUGUGCAAGUUGGUAUUCGUAUGUAGAAGGAAUUGGGGGAUUUGGGGGUCCUAACAAAUUUGAUAUGAUUGAUGGAAGGAAAUGAUUAUUAUAGGAUAAAGUCCGAAUGAAACGCUGACGAGGGGGGAAAAACAACAGUGGCAAUGCACUAUCCACAGAUCCAUGAUUGAUUUAUGUUAGCAAUAAUGAAUUAUUUUGACUUUGAUAACCUUGGUUAAGAGAAUUUGGUCUUGUUAUUAUCAUUUUUUCAAAAAAAAAAAGUGUAGGUAACUAGGUAGUUGAUUUAUUAGAAUUUAGAAAUGAGGAUCCCCUCCUCCUGCAAGAGCCGUGACAGACAUGCCUGCUUUCUUGCCAGAUUAUACCAAUGUGCCCAAAUAAUCCCCCAUCUAUCAUCUCUGCACCCUGGAACACGUCACUCCCUCCUUUGAGCAAUAAAAUAUCUCUUUUAUUUUCUUUUGAACCACUCUUCUAUUUCUUUGUACCAGACUGGACCCAUUUAAAUUCUUCGCUACGCUGUUCCCAAGGACUACGAGAAUCAAAAUAGCAAAAUUCUUGAAUCAUUUUAAUGGGUUCAGAAACCACAUGUUUCUCUAGAUCAUAAGAGGAAAAUCUUUUUGGAUGGUGUUUGUGUUGUGUUGUGUUCAAUAUUAAAUACUCAAUUAAAUAAGCUAAAUCAAAUAUCACAUGAAAAAUAAUCAAAUUAAAAAUAGGGAGAAUUAUGUUUUGAGGGUAGAUGGACCCCAAAUUAACAAAAGGUUCAUGUAACUCUUCAAAUUGAGCCCAGACCCAAUGAAAAUAUGGAAAUUGAGUUGAAGUAUAUCAUCAUUCAGUAUUUCCAAAAAUGUCCUUUGUUGAUUUUGAGAAAAAAAUUAAUAUUUUUGAAAAAUAUUUUUAUGUAAUUUAAUAUUUUUUUAAAUACUUUUAUUUAAUUUAAUAUUUUUAAAAAAUAAAUUUAUUUAAUUUAAUAUUUUAAAAAAUAUUUAAUUUAAUAUAUUUUUUAAAUACUUUAAUUUAAUUUAAUAUUUUUGAAAAAAAUUUUAAUUUAAUAUUUUUGAAAAAAAAAUUAUUUAAUUUAAUAUUUUUUAAAACUAUUUUUAUUUAAUUUAGUAUUUUUGAAAAAAAAUUAUUUAACUUAAUUUUAUAAAAUAUUUUAUAUGUGUUCUUAAAGGGUAUAUUUGUCCGUUACUAUUUCAUAUCCUUCAACUCAAUUUAAAGAGUUAUAUGGACCUUUUGUUAAUUUGGGGACCCAUCUACCCUCAAAAGAUAAUUCUCCCUUAAAAAUAUAAAUUUAAAUAUGACAUAAUUAUUAAAUAUGUUAGAUCUUGUAUGAGUUUAUAAGAUUUAUGUUUCAAAAUAACAUGUUUAUAAUUCAUCUAUUGAUUUAUAAUCAAAUUUUAAAUAAAUUAAAGUUAUUCAAGUUAAUAAAUAUGAUUUAUGUUAUAAAGACUAACUAAAAAAUAAUUUAUUAAUUAAACGGAUCCUGGUCAAUAAAAAUUUGAUUUAAAUACGAUCAUACUUAAUCAAAACUUAGGUCAAAUUGUAUUGAUAAAUUACAUCAAAACCUUGUUGUGUUCAAUAUUUUAUAUUAAACUAUUUUUUAAUAAAAUUAUUUUUAUAAAUAUAAUAUUACAUCAUUUGGAGAAACAAAAUAGUAUUAUAUUGAUUUUACAUAUAAAGCAACCAGUUAACCCCUCAUUAUUUUGAUCCAUUUCACAUCCAUAUCAUUCUCAUAAUUUUUUUAUAAUAUAUUAACAUGAUGGACGGUAAUUGAGGGUAGAAAAAAAAGAUGAGAAGAAUAAAAUAAUGUGAAUCCUCUCUAAAUGUUACAUCUUCUGACAAAUGAAGUCUAUAGAAAUGUGUAAAAAAAAAAAAAACACUUAAUUGUGAGGUUCACUUGAUUUAGCAAAAAAUUAAUAUUUUAUUUGUUGUGUGAUUUAAAAAUAAUAUUUUAUUUUUAAAAAUAAAAAAUUAUUUUUAAAGUUUUUUAACACUAUUUUACUAUUGUUCUUUGAAAUAAUUUUUAAAAUUAAAAUGAAAUAACUAAUAAUUUUUAGAUAAUAAAUUAAAGUUGUUUUUAUUAGAUUUUAAAAAUAAAAGAAAAAUAUAAAACCAUUUGAUCAAAUUUUUUUAAACUUAUUUUUAAAAGGUUUUUUUUUUUUUUUUUUUUUUUCUAUCCUAAGUUAAAAGAUAAAAAAUAAUUUUUAAAGAUAGGUUACGAGCAAAUGCCACAAACUUUUUUCUUCUCUUUCCCUUGUUCGGAUAGAAGUGAAAAAUAUCCUCCCAUGGAUCGACAUUACGUGAGCCAUCACCAUUCCCCAACUGCAAUUCAACCGCCAAAGCUGAGGUGUCAUUAUUAGUUUGAACAAAAGUCAGCAUUGUCCACGUGGUGACAAGCGGAACUGACCCAACUUGCAAGGCAAAAAAAUAAAUAAAAUAAAAUGAAAAAAUCAGAUCACCAUUAUGACGUCAGUCCAAUUGCUGACCUGGCCGCCGUCCCCCAUUUGACCCACGUGUUCAUUUAACCCAUUCGCCGUAUGCCGUGGCUCCCCACCCAUAUGGCCAUAUCUGCCAUUUAUUUUAUCCGUUGCCUCCAUUCGGUUUUUGGAUUUUACCCAUUCGCCCUCGUCUAUUCCCAUUUCCGUAUUUGCCCACCAAGGAAAUUCAAUUCCCAUGCUUUUGUUUUACAUUCAAAUCCUCCCCCCUCUAUAUAAAGGAGGGAGUAGGGCUUGAAAGUUUCUCAAGCCAACAUGGACUGUUGAGAGUGAAAGACAGAGGAGCCACAAACAAAUAUCACUCACUCAAACCAAAGCCAAAACCAAUACCGAAUUCAAUUCAAAUGACUUCUUUCUCUCUCAUCAAUUCCCUGAAUUCCGAUUCCGAUUUCAAUUUGUUAUCGGAUUCUUUUUCCUGGGAAAACUCCCUACCUUUCAAUGAAAACGACUCCCAGGAGAUGCUCCUCCUGGGCAUGCUGGCCAGCUCCACUCAGGAAACCUCAGAAACAGUUUCUUUGAAUCGAGUGAAGGAGGAAGAAGUGACUUCCCAGGAAAAUCCCGAGAAGGAGAAGUCAUACAGAGGCGUUAGGAGGCGGCCAUGGGGGAAAUUCGCAGCAGAAAUAAGGGACUCGACCAGGCAUGGCAUAAGGGUGUGGCUGGGAACAUUUGACAGUGCAGAGGCAGCUGCUCUGGCCUAUGAUCAAGCUGCUUUUGCGAUGCGGGGCCCUGCGGCAGUCCUCAAUUUCCCGGUGGAAAGAGUGAAGGAAUCGAUGCAGGAGAUCAAGUGCAUCUUGGAGGAGGGGGGCUCACCAGUGGUGGCCCUCAAGAAGAGGCACUCUAUGCGGAGAAAAAGUCCUUGCAAGAAACAUAAAAGUGAAGAGGUGAGGUUAGAAAAUGUGGUAGUGCUGGAGGAUUUGGGUACUGAAUACUUGGAACAGCUCCUCACUUUCUCUGAGACCUCUAGUCCUUGAUCAUCAUCAUCCAUCACCUGGAUAGCUUCUUCUCUUUGCUCUGUUUCUUACUUUUCUCUCUCUCUCUCUCUCUCUCUCUCUUUUUUUUUUAUGUAAUUUUUCUUAAUGUAUUUUUGGAGAUGGCGGGGGUGUAGUGGUGGCAAUUAUCCAUCUAGAAUUUUUCAAAAGAUAUGUUCUUUUGUUUCUUUGUAUAAAGUUGAAAAGUGGGGAUCAAUUGUGAUGGUGCUCUAUGUUCAUCCACCCAAUUUAUAUAAUCAAGGUGAUUAAUGUUUUUUGAUAUCAACAAUUUGUGAAUGACAUAGAGAGAGAGAGAGAGAGAGACCUUAUUUUCUACACUCAUUACGGUGGUUUCCAUUUGGGGAAGGAAAAGGAAAUGGCUAAGAAUGUUACCAAAAGAAGUGGGGUGGCUUUCAUAUGCGUGGUGGCAUACUUGCAUACAAACUUUUCAAUUGUGUUCUGCAUGCCACUCGGGUCAAUUUCAUUUCUUUUACUCCUAGUAGCCUAAUUGGAUUUCCUUUUUCUCAUGAGACAUCAAAUAAAUUUCAUUUUUUUAUAUUUAAAUAGUUAGGUAAGUUUGAUAGUGAGUUAUAUUUUAUACAUUAAUUCAUCUUUUAGAAUGUUGUCUACAAUAUAAACAGUGUAAUUAAUUUCAUCAUUACAGAACAGUCAUCUUAUAAAAUAACAUAAAAAUUAUUGGAUCACUUGUAUGGCACCACUGAUUUGGACUUGGUAUGGCUCUGUUUGGCUUCAUAGAAAAAAUUUGGACCCAAUUUGAAUGUCUUGCAUAAAAAGAGAUACGUCCCACUUUGAAUGAUAUUGAAGAAAAAAAUUUCUGAUGAAGAAUAUAUUGUUGGCAGGGUCAUGCAGGCCAAUAGGGAAACGAUAAAUUCAGAAGAAUGAGUCCAAACCAGUGGGCUUGAAAAUUAAGAAGAGAAUUGCUGUAUAAAACAAUCAUUUCUUAAUCGAGUUCACUUUCUGAAUAAUCGUCACUUUGAGAAUGCAUACUUAGGAAGAUGAUGAUCCUUAAUGGGAAUAAUCAAAGGCAUCAAAAAAUUGUUCUGGAACAAUUCUUGAUUGUCUCCAGUAAAAUUCAAAGUCAAAAGUCAAAAGUCCAGUCGGUCAACACCAAACCAGGCCAGUCCAAAAGACAUUAAUUUGCAAUCUAGAAUCUAUGAUGAGGUGGCGAAAUCAAACCUUGGCUUUUCACCAGGGAAUGGUACUCUGAAUUUGGUCAGUUCACUGUUUCGAGUGAAUAGGGUGUAGUAAUUAGUAAAUCAUAUUUUAGAUUUGUGUCACAAGUUACAAGGGAUAUGGGCUGACGUUCAAUUUUGGCGACAAUUUGUGGGCCCGUAUAUUUGUUGAGAUGUGGAAAUUGGGUGUGUGCUUUUUUCUGCUACCACAUAAAUAUAUUUCUUUGAAUUGAAGAGUGUUUCAGACCAUUUUUUUUCAAGUCACAAAUGGACAACUGAUUGAGAUUGUAUUGGUGAGAGUAGGAGUUUAUUUUGGGCUGGUUGAGCGAAGUUGAAAGUCGAGUUGGACCUAACCCUUGAAUUCAGCAGACUACAGUCCGAUCCUGUAUUUUGGAUUUAGGGAACCUUCUUUCCCAGAAGCUUCGUCUGGGUUUUAAAGUCUAAAUGUGGCUACUCUUAAACAUUGGAGAAAGGAUGAGCGUUCACAAGCAAAUGGGUAAUUGUGGAUGGUUCAAGGACCUGGCCAGCUGGUCUUCAAGUUUGGAUGCCGGUUUGGGCCUGAGAGAGUCUUUGCAAAGUGACUUCACUUCAGCCUAUGAGAUCAAGAUAUCAUGGUGAUGUCCGAUCACUUAGGUUUCAUUUUCACCUCGGAUUACCGUUACCAUGUUCAUGAAUAAAAAUAAAUAAAUAAAUGAAGCCUUAUAGAGAAAUUAAUGAAGUGAGCUAUACAAGCAACUGGGCCAGGAGCCUACAAGGCAGAAAUUCCCUGCCCUAGACUAGGCCGAAUAAAUUAGAUGAAUGAAUUGGGGAAACCUGGGCCAGCCACACAUCCUCCUGAAGGCUGAUGUCGAACUCGCUUACGAGGAAUGGACAUGGGAGAUUGGGCUGGGACCAAAUAACCAAUUGACAGCCCUAUCCUUGUGGCAAGACGUCAGUAAAAUGGUUCAUUCUGAUUUUACGCUGCCAUUCAAUUUAAUUUUAAUUUUUGUUUAAAGCGAUGUACAAAUUGAAUGGUGUCUAGUCACUUAAAGAGUGGUUCAUAAUACACUUAAUUUAAACAAAAAAGAAAUUAUUAGAUAGGGGAUUCUCCAAUAAAAACCACCCCAUCUUGUCAGCAAGUCCGGAAACUUCCUUCACUUAGGGCGUAUUUGUUUUUUUAACUUUAAUAUUAAAGAAAGUUGGUUAAACCUUAUGACACUUUUAUAUUAUUUUAUGAAUUUUUUUUAAUUUUUAUUUUAAUGGAAUUUUAACUUUAAUACAAGUUGGAGUAAUUCUUAUCUUAAAAACAAAUCAAAAUUACUUUAAUUUUAUAUAGAAAUAAACUUACAGUAAAUUUACCAUGAAAAUUUCUAAGUCAAAUACACCAUAAGUGCUAGUAUUUUAUAAUAUUUAGAAACAUGUUAAAUUAUUAUUAUUAUUUUUUAAAAUUAUUAGUUUUCAUAUUAGUUUUAGGGAAACUUGUGCUUUAGGUCUUUUAUUUGCAAAUAAUAUGGUUUUCAAAUCCUAAGAAUAGAAAAUAUGAGAAUCAACUGUUAAUGUGGAAAAUAAUAUCAAUUUUGUGCAAUCUCUAUUGACUCAUUUUUUUGUGCCUAGAUUGCCUUCACCCACUUCCAUGUCAACAACCACAUUAAUAGAUUGUUUUUUUUUUAUAAAACAAAUAAUUAUUAUGUUUAAAAUUUUGGGGAAACUCUCUAUCUCUCUUACUUCUUCACUACAUCCGAGACCCAUCUUCCUUAAACGUUUGCCUCUCAUUUUGCCCUAACCCCAAAUCUCAUAAAUUUCUCAUUUUCUUGCCUCAUUUGAAAUAUGAAGAUGACCGAUUCUCAAACAUCUCUGUCUCUCUCUUCACGUUUUGACCAGUCUAAUUGGAAACCCAUUUUCCAAAAACCUUCUUUCUUUCAUUUUGCCCUAACCCCACUAUCUCCCUCUUCAAGACCUAAUCACCCAAACUCGAUAUCUAUCUUCCCAAAACCUUCAAGCAAACUGAACUAGACCCAUAUCUUCUUUUUUCAUCAUCAAAGGUGAAAUUUUUUUAAGGCUUUUGGAAACCGAAUUGGAGCUUUCCCUUCUUCUGGGAUUAAUCAUUCGCAAGUGAGUUUUCCAUUUAAGGCUUUGUUUGGCUGUUGAAAUCUUGGGAUCAAAGGUCUUUUAUUUUCAGGUUUCUUGUAUUUUGCUUUAUUUUCUUGUAUAUAACAAUAAUCAUUGUAACAUAUGCUAGUAGUUACCCUUGGUGCAACUUUACAUUUCCAAAUACCCUAAAGUCCAAAGCUUUUAAUUCCCUUUUCAAAGCUUUCAACUUUGAAAGCAGACUAAACCAUAAGAACUAUGAAACUUAUAUCUCUAUCACCACUAAUUAAGCAUGUCUAUGAAUCCUUCCACUUUAAGUCACUUAUUCUCAAACCAAGAAGGGCUCCUCUCAUUCUCACCCCACCUCAUCUAAAUGAGGGAAAUGAUCAAUUGCAGCCAUGCUUUGCACCAAAUUAGAGAAGUGAUCCUCCCAAUCAUCCAUUACCAAAAAUUGAUCAUGCUGAUGAGAUCAUAAGAGUCUAUUCGGAACUCCCAGUUUACUUGCCUCUUAUCUCAGGAUCCUCCAUUACCCCCUGUCUUUCCAACAUCAAAUCAACUUGCAAACAAUUCCUUUGUAGAUAAAAUGUUUUUAAUAUUGCAAAAGGGGACUUAUCAUAAUGGUUGAAUCGAUUUAUUUGAUAUAAUCACUCAAAUUCAAGCUUAAAAUUGAUCAUAAUAAAAUGUUUUUAAUAUUGUUAAAAGGAGAUUAUAAUGGUUUUAUUUGAUAUCAUUACUAAAAUUCAAGCUUUCAAACAUGCUCUACAAAGAAGUUCUAAAAGACUACAAGAAAGAGUUUCCACUAAAGAAAAACAAUGAAACCAUUUCUACUAAAGACAAACAAUGAAACCACAGAUGCUUUGUGAAAUAUGUACCCGCACAAUCCAACAAACUUUAGAAAUUCACAAACACUACCUAGAAUUUUUGCUGACCAGCAAAAAAUUUAUGCAAUUUAAUUCUUAUUGUUAUUAUUAUUUUCAAUGUGAACAAAUAUGAUUGAAUUAUGAAGUAUUUGGCCAGAAGAGGAUCUUGCCUAAUUAUAGUCAUUAAACAACCAUUUAUACCAUAGCCUCUAGACUUUAAAAAGUUUAUAAAACUCAAGGGCUUCCACCCAAUUUCUAGAUAUCUCCAUAACAUUCUUCUGACUAUUAGAAAGCAAUUACCACUUUAAUUUUUCAUUUCAUGAGUGUUCAAUUCAGAAAAAGACCAGGAUCGAACUUGCGAUCAUGCAGUCGAAAAUCCACCUGUGCAUGAAACUAUUGCCUCACGAUUGCAAACUCAAGUUGGAGUCCAGUAACAACUCUAGGUUUGCUGAUGUGCUCCAUUUGAAAUAAAGGAACUAAAGAAUACUUUAUAAAGAUUAAUUACCUUCAUAUUUUAGGUUGGGGUUAAGGCAAAAUGUGAUAGAUUGAGAGGAAGAAAAUAUAUCUUGUUCAGGAAGCCAAUAUUUUGGAGUUCACCUUUCCAUUCGAGUCCACUCUGCUAUAGCAAAAUCAGAGUCACAACUAUGCCUCUUUAAGCUAUCCUUUAAUUGGAUGAAUUGCAGAUUUGGUUGCUGAGAAAGUGGAUAAGAAAGAAAAAUGCAUACUGUAGCUUGAGAUUAAGAGUUUGUUUUCUAAAAUGAGAGAAAGGGAAAGAGAAAAAAUGCAUAUUGUAGCUUGAGAUUAAGGGUUUGUUUUCUAAAAUGAGAGAAAGGGGAAGAGAAAUGUUCGACAACUUUGAGAUGACAAAUUUUUAGAUUUGGAAAAUUUGAGAUGAGUCUCAGGUUUUUUUUUUUUUUUUUUUGUCUUUGUCUUUGUUUUUUUUUUUUUUUUUUGUUUUUUUCCCAAAAACAACCUGUUAAUGUGGUUGUUGACAUAGAAGUGGGUGAGGGCAAAAUGGGCAUAGAAAAAAGAGUCAACACAAAGUGCACAAAACCCAUAUUAUUUUCCACAUUAAUGACUGAUUCUCAUAUUUCUUGUUCUUGGGAUUUGAAAACCAUAUUAUUUGCAAAUGGACCUCCCAAAGCACAGGUUUCCCUUAGUUUUAUGUCUCCAUCUACAUUUUACAUAUAAAUAGAUUAUUUUAUAAAAUUUGUUUUGUAGAUAUAUUAGUUAAUAAUUAUAUAAUUAAUGAUAUAGAAAACAUAUAAAAAUCAUAUUUAAAAAAGAUAAUUACAUAUUCCUCAACAAUCCAUCCCAAGAAUUCGAGGUUGAGUUGAAAACAUGUAGAGUCUUUGAUGUUAUUAUAAUCAUAUCCAACACAUAUGAUUAUUGUUUAUGAGAUAUUAUUAGAAAGUUUGUCUUAAAAUAAUUGAUUUAUUACCCACCUUUAGCAAAUGCCCAUUUUUGCGUCUUUCAAAAUUUUCAUUUUUUUUUUGUUUAAAAGAAGUAUUGUAAAGAAUGAUGAAAUAAGAAAUUUGUUGAGAAAGUGUGAGUAAAUAAUUUUACAUAAAAAGAGAUUUAAUACUUGAUAAAUAAAAUAAUAAAAUCAUGAUUUCUAGUUGUAUAGGGCCGGGUGGAUGGAGUGGCUAAGAUGUAAUUCUUGAAAUAGAGGAGACAACAUCAAUGUAUAAAAGUUUAACAGAGAAGGAAAGUGUGUUUGAAUGACUUUAUUUUCUUCAUUUAAAGUUUUGACGAUGAGUGUUUAUACAAGAUAAAUUUUCAAAUGAUAGGACUCCUAUUUACAUGGAGUUUGUGAUAUACUAUGAUUAUACAAAUUUAAAAUUCAAACAGAUUCAUGAGUUGAUAGGAGUCUGCUCAAUACGCCCCUUCAAAAUGGUGGGAGAUAGCACACCAAUCUUGACUCGAAGGGCCUAAACUCGUGCAGAAGAUGAGGGCUUUGUUAGAGCAUCGACAAGUUGAUCCGUGGUUGACAUAUGGGACACCUUGAGCUCACCUGAUUAAACCUUGUUUCAAACAAAAUGAAAAUCAAUCGCCGAUGUGUUUCAUGGAGAGUGAAACAUGGGAUUUGCACAAAGAUAUGUUGCACCCACGUUAUCACAAGAGAUAGGAGGUGGUGAUAAAUUUGAAACACUAAGUUUUGAGAGAAGAGAAUUAACCCAAAGAACCUUUGAGGCUGUAGAGGCCACGACGUGAUAUUUCGCUUCAGUGGAAGAGCGUGCUAUGAACUUUUGUUUCCUCGAUGACCAAUACACAAGAUUGUGACCAAGAAAAACAAUGGGAGCAUUGGUGGAGGAUCUGACAUAAGGAUUCCUUGCCCAUUCAACAUUCGAAUAUGCAUGUAGAUUGAUGGGCGAUUUCUUAUGCAAGAACAGACCAUGCACCAUUGUGCCGACUAAGUAUCUAAGCAAUCUUUUAACACAAGACCAAUGUGUUGAUGUUGGAUGGUGCAUAAAUUGAGAUAAUUUAUUCAUCAAGAAGGUGAUGUCAGGGCUAGUAAGAGAGAAGUAUUGAAGGCUUCCAACAAUUGACAUAUAUUUAGUGGGACCAGGAAAAGAGGUGUCAUCACACAGAUUUGGAACAUUGUUGAGGAACAUCAAUGAUUGAACUGGUUUGGUAGCCACCAUUUGUGUUUUCUUAAGAAGCUCUCGAAUGUACUUGAGAUAAAAAUAAUCCUUUGGAAGUAUGUAUCAUUUCAACACCAAGAAUAAAAGAUGAAGUCCUGAGAUCCUUAAUGGAGAAUUUGACUGCUAAUUGAGAGAUCACGCGAGCACGAAAAACAUUAUUGUUACUUGUUAAAAUAAGAUCAUCAAUAUAAAUAAGUAGGUAAACAAUGAGACCACUCUUUUUAAAAAUGAAGAGGGAUGUCUCGGUUUAGGAGUUGACGAAGGCUAUUGAGAGGAGAAAUUGGCAAAGUUCAUGAUACCAUGAUCGUGGAGCUUGUUUAAAGCCAUAAAAAGCCUUACAAAGUUGGCAAAUGUGAUGAUGUGUGUAUUCGUGAACCCAGGAGGUUGAAUCAUGUAAACAUCUUCAUGAAGUGUCCUAUGCUAGAAUGCAUUAUUAAUGUCCAAUUCAUGAGUUGAUAGGAGUCUGCUCAAUACAAUGUGGGAGUGUGAUUUCAAAAUUAGGGUAAUUUCGAAAUGGAUUUUGUAUUCACAAGUUGAAUUUCAAAAUUAUUUUGAAAUGGUCUUUUAACUUUAAGCAGUUGUGUUCAAAAGGUCAUAACUUCUUCGUUUCAAUUUUGAUUUACACAUUGUUUAAAACAUUGGACUCUUUACUUCCCGAGCUUCAAAACGAUAUAUAGUAUGCUCAAAAAUGACAUCAGGAUUGGUUCAAAUUUCAUCUUGAUAUUAGAGUACAUGUUGUGAUUAGAUUUUGAGUUCCAAAUUUCCAUGUAAACUUGAUUGCAUUUGCUUCAAACCUCCUUCAUUAUGGUUGCUUGCCCUCUAUCUCACUUUGCAACAUUUGUUACUAGUAUUUUAUGUCCAUGACUUACUCAUUUCAACCUUUCUUGGAUUCUUCAUGGUUCACAAAUUAUGGAUUCUUCAUGGUUCACAAAUUGAGUCUUUCAAUUAUGCAUGUUUAACUCCUAUUUCCUUGGUUGAUAAUGACUUUUACACUUAUCAUUUUCUUUUAUUCUUUAAACCUGAAUUUAGACUUACAAAAAAAAGUUAGAUCCAUAACUAGGGUCUUAGCAUCAAUUUGAGUUAAGUUGGAUGAUUUGAAAAUUUUAUAUUACAUAAAUCAUAUCAUACAUGUGCCAUUGGAGUGCACAUUUUGGCUCUAAUCAUGUUCCAACCCAUUGUUUUACUCUUGCAUGAAGUAUGUGGCCAUUGAUUUUAAUUUUAUUUGCGAUUAGGUUCAAAAUGGUGCUUUUGUGUUGCUCAUGUGUCAUCAGAAGAUCAACUAAUGGAUUCUCUAACAAAACUACUACAUCAUAGUCAUUUUUUUUUUUCUUAAGACCAAGAUUGAGAUCUCCAAUCGGAGCCAACUCCAUCUUGGGGGCAUGUUAGUGAAAGAUAAAAUUUAUCUUUAAUUUAAAUAUUAAUAUUUAUCAGUUAUUAGUUUUAAUUAGAGUAAAAGAUAGAGUUUAAAUUGGAGUAGGAGAUAAACUUGUGUUUGAACUAGAAUAGAAGAUAAAGUAUAAAGAUUUAUGUUUGAAUUAGAAUAAAAUAUAAAGUUUGAAUUAGAGUAGAAGAUAAACUUGUUCUUUAUUUGUAUAUAAAUAUUCAUCAAUUCUUGAGAAGAAGAUUAUUUCAUAGUUUUUCUAUCUUCUUUUUUCUUCAUACAUAUCUGCAAGAAAUUGAAGAUUUCAAGUAAAAUAUUUUCUGUUUUAAAUAGUGAAAAAAGCUAGAAAUUCACUUUGUUAUCUCUUGGGGUAAAUUGACAAGGUUUAACGUUAAGAAGGUGAAUUAUUUUUUCAGAAAAACUGAAGUAGCUAGGAUAUCUGGCCAGUUGUGAUCGAUAAAAAAGUUGUAAAAUCUCUCAUAUACUAAACAGGUUUUGGAUGUUGGUAUGGUAAAUCCAUCUGCAGUCAUUCGUCAUCUCAUCUAGUGAGAUGUUUGGGAGGUGGUGACCGCCGGAUUGGGUUUCAUUUGGUUAAAUCUGUCAGUGGGUUGGCUACUACCCGAGCCUCUUGCUUUGGGGGAGGUGGGUUCUAGAUAUAAUGUUCAAACCAUUUUAGUUAUCAUAUGCAUGACAUGUAAGCAUAAUCUCUUUAUCACUUCUUCAAUGGGAGUUCAUGGUUAGGAAUUGACUUCUUUUCUUCUGGGAUGCUUGGCAUGUAAUGGACAAAGUUACUUUUAUAUCGAUCGAAUUUCUAGUAUUAUAGUGAAGACUUACCCUUUUGACAUUUUAUAUCGAAUUAUAGAAGAUGAAAGGGACAUACAUGCAAUCGACUGACGCUUUAGUGAAUAUGCUGAAAAUAUGCUGAUGCUGUGGAGAUCGUAUGAGGACAGAGGAAAAAGAUAGAAAUGGAUAUAUAAUUAGACCUAGGUUUUUAUUAAAUGAGAUGGGGAACAUAGAGUGAGGGAAAAUCAAAAUUUUUGGCUGCAGUUCACAUUGGUGAUAUUUUGGAUUGACAAAGACUAACGACUUUUCUAUUUUUCUUUUCGGCCUGACUGGAUAGUUGGACAUGGACAAUACAGAAUCCACAGAAGGAUUGUUGGGACCGCUGAAAAUUAGCUAGAAGAAGCUGAGGAAGUAGUCUACGUAGUCAAAUACCAAACACAAAGAAAGAAAGAAAUGGAUAUCAUGGAUGCCUAGAGUUAUACUCCUAAUACCGUCACAGGUAUUUUUCUUUCCUCCUUUUUUUUUCUACGAUAAUUAGAGCAUUUCUCCUCCUCCUCCUCCUCCUCCCCCCACCCCACCACCAAAAAAUAAAAAAAUAAAUUAUUGCAAGUAACACUUCAAAUAUUAAUUUAUACAUUCUAAAGUAUAUAUUCAUGAAAUAACUUGAGUAUCAUACAUUAGUUCUCAAAAAAAAAAAAAAAAAAAAAAAAAAAUUACUGGAAGAGAAAAGUUUAAGAAAACAUAAAAAUAUUCAACUACUAUUUUAAAGAGAAAAUUUAAUUUUUACACUAUAAAUUUGAAGAGAACUUUUACAUGCAUCUUAUAUAAACUACCAUUUUUUGCUAAAAGGCUUAAAUUUGUCAAAAAUACCCCUUAGGUGCUUAACGUUCUGGUCAUAAUAUAAUUGGCAUCUUUUCUCAAACAUAAGGCCUGUGUGUGGGAACAAGAUUUAAUGUUAAUGAGCUUCGCCACCGACAUUUAGUUCCAGAAAUCAUUAUUUUAAUAGAGUGGGCUCAAUUUACAACUUUAAUUAAACUCUAACCAACUGCAUUGUGAAAUGAAUAUGUUUCUUUCGUGGUGAAUCCAAUGAGUUGGGAGUCAAACUUUGCUUCAUUGUGUAUAGAUGAAAUGUUAAGACUCCAUGUAACCUCAAACAUUUCCGCAAUNNNNNNNNNNNNNNNNNNNNNNNNNNNNNNNNNNNNNNNNNNNNNNNNNNNNNNNNNNNNNNNNNNNNNNNNNNNNNNNNNNNNNNNNNNNNNNNNNNNNUUCUUUCGUGGUGAAUCCAAUGAGUUGGAGUCAAACUUGCUUCAUUGUGUAUAGAUGAAAUGUUAAGACUCCAUGUAACUCAAACAUUUCCGCAAUGAGCGGGAGUUCUAAAUUUAAUAAUUGAAAUUGUCAGUGGAACCAGUGGACAAGAGUUGGUUUGUGGUUGACAAACUUAUCCGUUUGAUCUUUACUUGAACAGUUCCAGUGUGUGGAUGGGUACUGAUGAAGUGUGCGCAUUUAUUUUGAGAAGCCUGCUUGUUCGCAUAGAUUUUAACGACAUGAACAUUGUGGUAAGGUUAGAGAGUAAUGCGAAUGUAGGAGCUUAUAUUAGAAAUGACACAAACACGUAAAUAGAAGUAAUCUAUAUAUGAUAUUACUCAUGGACUACAAGCAAAGAAGUACAAUACAUGGAGUAAGUGAUGAAAUGAGCAUUCCUCACUACUACUGCUUGACUGAUGGAACAUGAUGCACGAGAUAGCAUAAGUAGUAGUAGGAAGCAGCUCUUAUUUGUGGCGUCGGUAUACAUCAUACUAGGUAGAUGGUUCAAUUGGCAUGGAUGGGUGGUGGAGCCUUGAAGUGCUUGUGAUGGGGAGCCCACGGCUUCUUCUCAGGAGUUGGUGGCUUCUUGUAUGGAGUUGAUGGAGGUGUUUCUACUGGAGGGUGGCCAGGGUAGUGACCCUGGGGUGGUGAAGGUUCUUUUGUCGGUGGUGGCCUCACUAUUAUUGGCGGUAGAGUUGGUGGCUUGGGCGUUGGCGGUGGUCUCACUACUCUUGGGGGUAGAGUUGGUGUCUUGUGUUUUGGUGGUGGAGGUGGCUUAACAGGAGUUGGUGGCUUGUAUUCUGGGGGUGGUUUCUCCACCGGAGGUGGCUUAUAAACUGGAGUUGGUGGCUUGUAUUCUGGGGGUGGCUUCUCCACUGGUGGUGGCCUGUAAACAGGGGUUGGUGGCUUAUAUUCUGGGGGAGGCUUCUCCACUGGAGGCGACUUAUAAACAGGGGUUGGUGGCUUGUAUUCCGGGGGUGGCUUCUCUACGGGAGGUGGCCUGUAAACAGGGGUUGGUGGCUUCUCCACCGGAGGUGGCUUAUAAACGGGGGUUGGUGGCUUGUAUUCUGGGGGUGGUUUCCCCAGUGGUGGAGACUUGUAAACAGGAAGAGGUGGUUUGUGCUCAUAUGGGGGUGGCUUGUGGUCAUUAGCAAGUGAGGGA
rnacentral:lncRNA from 1 species